UAUAACUCGGAUUUCGGCAUUCUUUAUAUCCCCGAAAUCCUUGUUUCGACCACUACAACUUUAUGUAAAGAUAUCGGGCUUAUCUCACACUUUAAUUUUGACGCUUAUUUUUAUUCUUAAUUAAUUAAGCCCUAAUAAUCAAGCAUAAAACACAUAAUUCCUUUUCAUUUCUUCAAAAUGAGUUACAAAGGUUAACCUAGACUAUUAACUCAAUAUAAAUGCCUAGGUUAGAAACACGAGUGUUACAUCUUCCUUCUUCCUUGAGACCAAAACUCACAAGAAUCACUCAAAAAGCCUUAGAUAUUCACAAAAACGGCUAGGGUUUGCUAUGAGGAGUGUUUGGGUGCAUAAAGGGAAAAAGUGGCUGCAUAAGGUUGUUUAAAUAGGGUGCAAACCCCCGUAUUAGGGUUUUUGUCGAAACAGCGGCUACUCGCCGAGUCCAGGACUCGACUCGCCGAGUCCUGCACUUAAAUCCCGCGCCUCUUCCCGCUUCUACUCGACGAGUUAGUCCUUCGACUCGCCGAGUCCAGGGCCCAAAGUGCAAAAAUAAAGAAGACUAAUUACAGAACGCAUACCAAGAACCAGGUACUACAGCCUAUACUUUUAUUUGUCUAGAACAAACAGAACAACACUAAAGAUGAUUGACCUUCAUAGAACUUUGAAUUAUAGAGCACUCAUUGUGUUGACCUCUAAUCCCAUGAUCUCACUUCUUUAUAAGUCUAAAUUAUGAAGGCGAGGAGAAAUAAUAAACAAAUUUAUCUCACAGUAAGAGAUUAGGGUUGUGAAUUUGAUUAAUAAUGGAUUACCUUAAUCAAAUAAUCGAAGUACCUUCAAUUUCAUGUUUGUGCGAUGUCAGCAGAGUGGGAUGAACCGGUGGUGGUGACCGGAGUUGAAGUGGGAUGAGUCAUUGGUCCAUCGCCCAACAAAUCUCUGCUUUCACCGAAUAGGGUUUACUGGAUUGUAAGUUGGAGUGAGAUCAUGAUGGUGAUGUUUCUUGACCCAACGAUGGGAUGACAGAGACGACGACUAUAGAGGAGGGAAGAGGAGAAGGAAGUUGGGUAUUUGGAAGGCUGUAUGGGAGAACCUCCUCGCCAUAAGAGAGUGGCAACGAUUGAAUGAGGGAGGUGGCAGGAUGAAGGAGGAACCAUGCAUCGGUUCUAGGGCAUUUAAAUGAAUGAAUUGUAUAAAAAAUAUUUGAAAUUACAAAUUUGGUCCCUUAAUUUUAUUAGUUUUUAUUUAAAUUUUUAGGGUAAAACAGUCAAUCUGUAAUACUUAACGAUUUGAUGUUUAACAGCAUCCACCAAAAGGGACCAGCAUUGUAAUUAUUCAAAAUCGCAAGGACCUAACAUAUCAACUUUUCAAAGAUUGGAUCAAACUUGUGAAUUUGACCAAACCGCAUGGACCAUUUCUACAAUUUACUCUUAUAUAGAUUUGAAUUUUAGUGUUUUGUAAAAAAACAAUCUCUUUAUUUUUAUUUUUUUAAAAUAUAUUCCCUUUAACUAUGUAAAGUUCAAUUAAUACAGUGUAUAUAGAAUUUAAAUGGGAAAAUUAUAUGAAUCAUGGAGGAUGUCACAUUUUAUUAAACUUAAAUAUAAUGUAUAAUGGAUGGCUAGUAUUUUUAUUGGGAAAUUUAGCUUUCUUGCCCUCUUCCUUAUGUUGUAUUUUAUAAUGAAUAUUAGACGAAUGCCUACGUGUUAUGCAAGUUAAAAUUAUGUAGUUAAAAUUUUGAAAAAUAUGUAUGGUUGAGAUUUAUUAAUUUAUUGACAUUACCUAUAUAAUAAUAAUUCUUAUAAAUAGAUAAAAUUAUAACUUUUUAUUAACAAUAUGAUUAGAUAGACAUCUAUUAAAAUCAUAUUUUACAAAUAACCUUCACUUGCAACUUAUGUAUGAAUAAAAUUAAAUAUAACUAUCGAUUUAGUGUUAUUUUUAACAAUUGUAAUGAUUAAUUAAUUUAAACAUUAUGAAUUUGAUUAAGUAUUAUUUUUAAUUAUUGUUAUGGUUAAUUAAUUUUAAAAUUAAUUUAUUUGAUCAAUGUUAAAACCUAAUGAAACACAUAUACAUGAAUUACUUCAAAAUCUAAAUUGUAAAAAUAAACACAUAAUAAUAAUACAAAAUGUUACUUGUUUAAAACAUAUCGUUCGAACCUCAGUAUUUCAUGACUUUCAACUGAAGGCAUAUCAUGUGUAUUGCUCAUGACUUUAACAUAUCCUAAGUAAUUUACAAUUAAUAUAUAAUUAAUCAUUAUAUAUUAUUCAUGUCAUACACCAUCUCCUAACAAAAUUUUUGAUUAUUUUGGGCUUUAGUUUUUUUUAAUAGUUUGUAAAAUGAUAACAAAUAAUAUAACCUUCAAAUUGAAUAUAAGGAAUCAAUAAACUAUAUUAAAAUAACAAACAAAAGCAUAAAUUCUAAUAACAAAAACAAUAUGAAAAAAAAUAUAUAAUAAGAAGAGAAAACAAAGAGGAAAUCGUAAUAAUAAUUUCUAUGACCAACAUGUUUAUCACAAAAAACUAAAUUGUUGCUUAUUUUCUAACCUCUAAAGUAGAUUUUUUAAAAAUAAUAAACAAAUACAUAUAAUCUAAUAAUAGAAACAACAUGGAAAAUACAAAAUUGAAGUUUAAUAUAAAGAAAAAACACAGAUAAAAUCAUAAUAAUAGUUUAUUUGACCACCAUACUUAUCACAAAAACUAAAAUAUUGGUUAUGUUCUAACCUCUAAAAUAGAAUUUUAUGUCUUCUUAUAAAGUAUUUAAUCUACCACACAAUCACCUAUAAUUCUCCAAAACCUACUAACAUAAUUUCACUAGUAUAUAUAUAUAUAUAUACACACACACUAGUGAAACUAAAAGGGCUGUGAUAAUCACACCCCUAGAGAACUAAUCAUGACCUUGAAGAAUUGAUAUGUAAGCUUGUUUCAAGUCAUUCCAAGAAAAAACAUGUAUGAAGACUUGGGGUAUUUAGACCAUGAUUGGUCUUAAGUUUUAGUAAAAAGUGGACGUAAGAAGCUACAAUUGAGUAGCUUUAAAAAGUACAAUGUCAUAAUAAGAAAAAAACAAAGAUACAAUGUUUUUGAAUGUUGACUGUGCUCCAGUUAAUUGAUUAGUGUUACAACCUAAAAACUAGAAUAAAAAUUUUCAUUUUUAAGAAUACGAGAGUUACAACCAUCACAUUGUUCCAAAAACCAACCCGUAAUAAUAAUGUCAAAUCAUCAUAGUACAAUAUCAAAAAUGUGGAAAAUAGUGAGGAGUGAAUGUUGCGCCAUCAAGCCGGACCAUUCCCUUUAGUACCAGAAGUACCUGAAACAACAAAUAUAAAAUGUAAGCAAAAUCUUAGAGAGUUUUCCCAAUGUACCACAUACACACAAAAUAUACAAGUGCCAUGGGCUACCGACAUGGUCUUUUCUCGCAAUGCUUAGGGCCAAAUCCUCGUCUUACAUACGAGUGUCAUGGGCUACCCCCAUAGUCUUUACUUGCGUUGUUGAGGGCCAAAUCCCGGUCUUACACACAAGUGCCAUGGGUUACCCCGAUGGUCUUUCAUACAUUUAUCACAAAGGCAACACACAUUUCACAUAACAAGAAAUGGGCCGAUAUUGGUGCCUUUGACCCAUUGAUAUACUGAGAAAACUCAUCUCAACUGCUGAAAUCCCAGAUAAACACUCUGGCUGCUAGACUGGAGAUAUUCUCGUGCUAACUAAACAAUAAAGUCCCAAAAACAGUUGGGUCAAAAUCUGGACUAAGACUUACAACACUUGCCUAAUGUACAAAAAGGGAUGGGCCAAAUUAGACUUCAAAGCCCAAUAAAGUCUUAGGCCCAAACCCAAGGAUCAUCCAAGUUCCAAUAUGAGUCUAGCAAACUGAAGUGGCCCAACAUAAGGAAGUCCAAGGCCCAACCCCAACAAGCAAGCCCAUCGAUUUGGGCCUUAAACACACUUCGAGCUAAACAAGGCCGUAUGUUCGACGUACUCAAUGGUAAGCACAACGUACCUGGCCAGAGCAUGAAGUUCGUGACUAAGGAGGCAGUACGCGCGACGUAAAGGAAGCUACGCACGGCGUACGCGACCCCCAUGCAAUAUAAGCGAAAACGUCUUAACGCCUUAAGACCAAGCAACUAAAACUCAGAUCUGAAACCAUACAUUAGAUUCAAGUUAUUCUUCUUCUCCUUCUCUUCUAUAUUGAUCUGACAUCAUCCAAUUGAUUGGGAUUCUGCACCAUCAAUUGGAUCUGAUUGACACACAAGCAAUUUUGGGGACUUACAAUUGGUUUCAGAGCUUGGUUGUAUCAAUUAAUUUUUUCAGAUCUGGAGCUUAUUUAUUCUUAUUUUGAAAAGAUAAUAGCGUUUUUGGAUAGAUCUUGCAAAAAUAAGGGGGGUUACUUCUUUGCAUUUUUCAUAAAAAUGAGUUUUUGAUCGAUUUUUAGAGCAAAAAAGUGUGAAAAACGUCGUUUUUUUCACGAAUCUGUUGAAGGAGUGCGGCUCAGCAGCCUCGGUGUGCGGCUCGGAGUAUACGGCUCGGUGUGUGCGGCUCGGAGUGUGCUCCUCGGUGUGCGGCUAGGGUUUCGGUGUGCGGCCUCGGUAUACGACUCGGUCUCGCCUCUGGUUCACGGCUCAGCAGCCUCGUUCUCGGCUUCGCAGCUCUAGUCCUCGCUUCGCAGCCGUCCUCGCUCAGCAGCCUUCGUAUAAAAAAAAGAAUUGAAAGUGUGGUGCCAGGGAUCGAACACUAAAACCUCCGGGUCAUUGCCCCAGCGUCUUACCAUCUCGUCUAGGAGGCUCCUUGUAUCCUACAUCCGAAAUUUCGACUAUAACUCACCCUUUUCGCCUCUAAUUUCGCAAAUUGACAUUUUCAACCCCAAAAAUUCAAAAUUUUAUUUUUAAAAUCCUUUUUUCAAGCCAAAAAUUUUAGUUUUUAAAUUUUAACUUUUAUUUUUGAUUUUUUACUUUAAAUUUUGACGUUGACUUUUGUUGGGCCGUGUUUUGAAUGUUGCGUCUAUUGGGCUCGUUUGUUAGUCCGUUUUUUGUGUCUUCGGUAUGGGCCUGUCCAUCCGUGAGAAUAGUAGGGUUUAUUAUAAAUAUAGGUGCUUGCAUGCAUCUUAGGUUAACGAUAGAAAAGGAAGUAACGAUAUAAUAGAUUGAUCAGAGAAGUUUUAUUAUCGUUCUUGUAACCCUAAAUCCUCUACAGCGGUAGUUCUUAGUCGAGCUCUGCUGAGGAUUGUUUGAAUUAAUCAUUCGACACAUUGUGAUUCAAUCUUGUCUUGUUUAUUGUUUUAUGUUCUUCGCACUACCUGUUACAAAGAUCUAAUCGAUCUCCAAGAUUAUUUAAUAUCUUAUCAAUUGGUAUCAGAGCAGGAGGCUGUGUAAUUCAUACACAUCUUUUCUGUGAAAAAGGUUGCGAUUAGGGUUAUUCCGCAUUUACUGAUAUUUAUUGAGCCGUCAUCCCAUAAUUGAUGUAACUCAACAUUUAUUUGUGUUGCCCUAAUUUAAUAUAUUACAAGUCUGAUCUUUUAAACAGGUUUUUUCGAUCAAGCAUUGACGAGUCACAAUCUAAUCCCAUUAACAUCUCAAACAACAUUGGAUCAACGACAAAGAUUCCCAUCCUUUACACCCAGGAUUACGAGGUCUGGGCACAUCACUUUGAAGAUUAUGUCAUCGGAUCUGAGGACAAUGGAUAUCUCAUCUGGGAAGCAAUCGUAUCUGGACCAUUCGCUCAUUCAGCAACUUCAAGAAUUAUUAAAACUCAGAAGGAGUAUAAUGAUCUUUUGAAAGACGUUAAAGAUAUUGCUCAAGACGAAAAAGAUAAAUUUCAGUGCAAUAUUAAAGCAUUGAGACUAAUCAGAUUCGCUCUUCAAUCUGACACUUUCAGGCUAGUGAGUUCAUGUAGCACUGCCAAAGAAAUAUGGGAUAGGCUGCGAGAGUUAUAUUCUACGGACGAAGAUCUCGAGCAUUCCAUUCAAACCUUGCUUUUGUCCGAAUUUGGUGAAUUCAAGCAGAGUCCUGAAGAAACUGUAACUCAGACGUUCGAUCGCUUCAAUCAUCUUCUUAGUAAGAUGAUUAAACAUGAUAUUGAAAGGAAGUUGAUUGAACAAAAGGUUACAUUUUUAAACGGUCUCAGAUCUGAGUGGAGAGCGGUUGUGUCCACUGUUAAAGCGCAUGAGCAAUUCAAAUCUUACUCUUUGGCGAAACUGGUAGGGAUUUUGAAAUCCCAAGAAAAGAUUGUGUUACAGGAGAAAAAUGUGGUUUCAAGCUUGGGAUCAUUGGCCCUUCUGUCCAAAAGCAAAGCUGUGAUGGAAGAUGAAGACCUCAACCUAGAGGAUUAUGACCUUACCUCUGAAGACUAUGCAAUGAUGGUCUCAAACCCAAAGAGGUUCAUCAAGAAAAGGUUCCCUACAAAUAAGAACCGAAAUUGGCAGGGAAGUUACAGUUCUGAAAAGGUUAGGGAAGAACCGAAGGCAGAAGAACCAAAGAAGGAACCGAAAGCUGAAGGAGAUUCGGGUGUGAGCUGCUAUUAUUGUGGAGGAAAGAACCACUAUGCCAAAGAUUGUGUUCUCAAGAAAAUGGCAGAAAAGGAUGAGGAGAAAGACGAAGAAACUGUGCUGUUGAAAAAGCUGGAAGAGAUCAAAAGAAAGAAAUCCACUGCUAACCCCUCUAUGAAUGCUUUAAUUGUGCAGGGUUCGGUAGCGGAUGAUGAGUUCGGUGGCGUGGAGGUCUGGUCAACCGAUUCUGAGGACGAUGAAGUCAGGAAGCCAUCUCAUGGAAAGGCCUAUGUUGCAAAAGGUGAAGGGAGCGGUGGAAAGUGUUUAAUGGUGUCAGACGUGUCUCAGAUGAGGGGAUACAACACAGAUGGUGGGAAUGAAGACACAAAGGAGCGAGAGGACUUGUGCUUCACAGCAAAACCUCUCAGCGUGCAGUUUAACGAGCUUGAUGAAUUAAUCAAGAAGGUACAAUCAGUUUUUGUUUCAUUCAAAGUCCCACAAAGUUCAUAUGAAAAGGAAUUAAAAAAUGUUAAUUCAAGAAUCUCUCAUCUAGACAGCAGUUUAACUCAAACACGAGUCACCAAUUCUAACCUAACUGACCAAAUAAGCAGGGUAUCUUCAAAGAGUGAGGAACGGAGGAUGUGGAUCGAGCUAAAGGAGUCGGAGUUAAUCAAAUCCAAGGAUGAAAACAUUUAUUUACAAAGAGACAAUUUAAAACUUUUAAAACAGAGAAAUGUCUUUUGUUUAAUUGCUAAGCGUCUUUACACUAAUAUCACUCAACUUCAUUUAAACUGUGAAAUAGGGCAGAAAAUUCAUCGCAUGAUUUUGCCCUUCCUUGAGUUUAAGGAGGAUGAAAUUGACGCUGAAGCAUAUAACUGUGAAAGUGUUGUUUCGUCUGAGGAUGUUAAUCCGACAUAUAUGUAUGGUCUAGACAAAAUCGAAUCUUUCAUAAAGUCCAAGGACCAUAAAGACAUGCUGAAAAAUCUUUUGGAUGAAAAUGAUAAACUAAAACUAAGAACCGAAACCAUACAAAAGUUUGACUCAUUGAAUGCCAACCUGAGCUCAGAAAAUAAAAUUGAUGUUGAAAAUGCAUCUGAGCUCAAUGAGGACGAUGAUAUGAGUGAAAUUUCUGUUGAAGACACAGUUGACUGUUCAGAGUUUGUCAAGAGCGAACCCAAAAACCACAAAAAUCUUAUUUCAGAAAAUUCUGUGGAGUUUGCUCGUCUGUCCCAACAAAAGUCCCCGAUCCUUGAAGAAAAGGCUGUUGUAUACCAAAAGGUGAGAACAACUCCAAAUCAGGUGUAUAAAGUCACAGGCGUAACAGAACAUCAGACAGCCGAACUCACAGCUAUUGUAAACGAAGACAAUGCUGAUGGUUGUGAUGAGUUCUUCUGGUCUGCUCCUAUCGACAAUGCUGACGAAACAGUUGGUCUGUCAGAAAGGACUUCAUGGAAAACCAAAGGCAGAUAUGUGCCAGAGCCUUUGAACAAGCCUGAUAGCUUCGACGUGCCAAGUACUAGUGGUACAAAAGAUGUUCCUGAAGAAAAAGGAGUUUCUGCAAAAGAAGUCACUCCUUCAAGCGACACAUCAUCAGUUCAAAGUGAACCAGCUGACAGAAAGCAAAAACAAAAAGCGAAUAUCCAUCGUCAGCCGAAGCAGGUGAUAAAUCAAAAACAACAAAGGAAUCAGAGAUACAAGAAGAAUCUCUCUAAAAGAAAACAGUUAUGGCAAUCUCAAAAUGACCAUUUCUCUUAUCAUGAAAGAAAUCUAAAGUCAGAAAAAAGCACUGUUAGGUCACAAGAGAGUAAUAACAACCGAAGAGAGAGGUUCGGUUCUGAAAGUCAAAACAACCGAAAGGAUACGUUCGGCUCUGAAAAUUUUGACAACCAAAAGCAAAGGUUCGGUUCAGAAAACACUAUCUACCGAAAGCAGAGGUUCGGUUCCGAGAGCAAAAGAGACCAAAGAUCUAGGUUCGGUCCCACUAAUGAUCAAAAACAAAAGGGUCACUUAGAAUCUCAAGCCAAGAACUCAUCUCAGUCUAACUUCUCUCGUUCUACUUCUUCUAAUUCUUCUAAUUCCUCUCAACCUCAUUCUAAAUCCAAUUCUGUUAAUACUCAAAAUCCAAAAUCUUCAACAGAUUUGAAAGGAAAAUCGAAGGUUUCCUCAGUCAAAACCGAUCAAAAGCAUUCCAAUGUCCCAGUGCCUAAACCUGAAUCCAAACCGACAGUAACAAAUCCCAAUAAAAUUAAGGUUUUCACCAUUAAAAAGAAAGAUGAAACAACAUUAAUAAAAAGAACAUAUCUUGUUGACAUCUCUCUUACUAUUCCUGUUCCUGUGAAAGGCUCACGUGGACCCAAGAAACUUUGGGUUCCUAAAUCUGCUUAAUUUUUGCAGGUUAUUAGUGACGAGCAGUUUGACGAAGAAUGGUACAUUGACAGUGGUUGCUCGCGUCACAUGACAGGAAGGAAGGAAGAGCUGAGGGAAUUUAGGUCUCUUUCAAACGGUGGAAAUGUCAAGUUCGGGAACAACUCCUUCGGCACCAUAAAAGGCUAUGGAAUGAUUACAAAUGGUGAUUUUACGAUUAGGAAGGUUGCAUACGUUGAAGGACUACAACACAACCUCAUCAGUGUAUCUCAGCUUGUUGGAGGUACCGGUCUCAAGGUUUCAUUCGAUGAUGAGGGUUCGGAAAUAAUUGAGAAGAAAACGAAAAGAGUCAUUCUCAAAUCGGAGCGCAAAGGCGAAAUGUUUCCCCUGAACCUCAAACCCAUCAAAGGGAAUCCAACUAUCUGCCUGUUAUCCAAAGCACAAUCUAACGAAAGCUGGCUGUGGCACCGAAGGCUCUCUCAUCUCAACUUCAAGGAUAUCAACAAACUUGUCACAGGUGGUCAUGUUCGAGGUCUUCCAUUGCUCAAAUUCGAUCGAGAACAUUUAUGUGCUGCGUGUGAAAUGGGGAAGCAGAGUCGUCAAAGUCACCCAUCGAUUGUAAACACUAAAGUUGUUGAACCAUUAGAGUUAAUUCACAUUGACUUGUGUGGUCCAUCAUCUAUCGAAAGCAUCGGCGGUAGCAAGUAUAUUCUUGUCAUCGUUGAUGAUUUCUUGCGUUUUACAUGGGUGUUCUUUCUGAAGCACAAAUCUGAAGCGACUCUCAAGCUGAAGACGUUUAUCAAGCAGAUUGAAGUACAGCUAAAGAAAGUCGUUCGCAACAUCAGGAGCGAUAAUGGUCUAGAGUUCAAAAAUAAAGAAUUCGAAGAAUUCUUAGCCGACAAAGGAACCAGUCAUAACUUCUCAGCUCCCUACACCCCUCAACAAAAUGGGAUUGUCGAAAGACGAAAUCGAUCUUUGUGUGAGACGGCCCGAAGCAUGCUAAGUUUUGCUUCGUUACCUUUACAUUUUUGGGCUGAUGCUAUUGCUGCUGCUUGUUUUACGCAGAACAAGUCAUAUCUCAAUAAGCGAUUCACUCUCACUCCUUAUGAGAUCAUCAACAACAGGAUGCCAAAUGUCAAAUUUUUCCAUGUAUUCGGCUCACGGUGCUUCAUCUUCAAUUCUAAAGAACAUCGUAACAAUUUCGAUGUCAAAGCCGAUGAAGGGAUAUUUCUGGGCUAUUCUCUCACUUCUAAAGCGUACAGCGUAUUAAACAAGCGCUCGAGGAAAAUAGAAGAAACCUAUUAUGUGACUUUUGAUGAUAGCUAUGUCAAAAAGCUUAAGGACAAAGAAGACACAGUUGGAGAAAUCUUUUCUCACACAGGCCAAGUCACAGCCUCGAUUGCAAACCUAUCUGAGAAGUUCGUCGAGUUAUUUGAUGAACCAGAGAAGGCAACUCUCUCAGAAGCGAGUGCAGCAGACAACAAAGUAGAUCAUCUGAAGCAACUCAUCGAAGAUACUGCAAAGAGAAUGAAUGAAGGAGGAUCAAGUUCUGACGACCCUCCACAGCACGAUACUUCAGUUGAGGGGGAGGGCACAUCUUCGUCAUCACAGGCGAGCUCACAUGUUGAGGGGGAGAACUAUUCUCCAGCUGCUCCCGAAAGCUCAUCUGCACCCGAAAGUCCAGUGGUACCCGAAAGCUCAACACCGCACGAAACUCCUAUAGCUCCAGAAACUCAAGACACACCUGAAAGCUUAUCUGUCGAGGGGGAGAAUGCAGAUAUGUCUUACGACUAUGAUAGUCAAUCUGAACUAGAAGAGAUGGUAAACGCUGAAUUGGAUCCAUCUUAUGAUCCAAAUUACCCUCCUCUUGUCAAAUGGACCAGAGAUCAUCCUGUUUCUCAGGUUGUCGGUAAUGUCUCUGAAAAGGUCCUGACCCGAUCACAACUAAAGGCAAAACAAACUUCCUUAUUUUCAAAAGUAGAAUUCUGUAUGUUUAACUCCUUCGUCUCAAAAGUUGAACCAAAGACAGUUAACACUGCUCUUGAUCACUCCGAUUGGGUUCAAGCUAUGCAAGAUGAACUAAAUGAAUUCGAAAGGAAUAAAGUUUGGCGUCUCAUUCCAACUCCUCAAGAUGCCUCAGUUGUUGGUCUCAAAUGGGUCUUCAGAAAUAAGAUGGACAAGGAAGGCAACGUGAUACGAAACAAAGCCCGUCUGGUAGUGAAAGGAUACUGUCAGGAGGAAGGAAUCGACUAUGAAGAAACUUUCGCUCCUGUUGCUAGGCUGGAAUCCGUUAGAAUAUUUCUUGCCUAUGCUGCACACAAAAACUUUGAGGUCUACCAAAUGGAUGUCAAGUGCGCAUUUCUAAAUGGAGAACUUGAAGAAACCGUGUACGUGGAGCAACCUCCUGGAUUUGUCAAUGAAAGGUACCCCAAUCACUGUUACAUUUUGGACAAAGCCGUAUAUGGACUGAAACAAGCUCCGAGGGCCUGGUAUGAAACGCUAACCAAGUUUUUAAAGAUGUCCAAAUUCAAACAAGGUUCGGUUGACCCAACCUUCUUUCGUAAGAAGGAAGGUAACCACCUUAUGAUUGUUCAAAUUUAUGUCGAUGAUAUCAUCUUUGGCUCAACGAAUCCUAGCUUAACGGCUGAAUUCAGAAAGCUGAUGGAGACUAAAUUUGAAAUGAGCUCAAUGGGUCCAAUUAACUUUUUCCUUGGUUUAAAUAUUAGACAGGGACCCGAAGGCAUCUUUAUUAAUCAGGAAGCUUACACGAAGACUCUCCUUGCAAAAUUUGGCAUGAUGGGAGAUUCAAAGGUUAAAGUUCCAAUGGCGUUCGGCACCAAGCUUACUCCAUCAUUGGAUAAGCCAGCAGUUGAUAUUACGCUAUAUCGCCAGAUGAUCGGUUCACUGAUGUAUCUUACUGCUAGCAGGCCUGAUAUCAUGUUCUCUGUUUGUUACUGUGCUAGAUUUCAGGCGAAUCCACGUGAACCUCAUAUGCUUGCAGUGAAGAACAUACUCCGUUAUCUCAAGCGAACUACCUCUUUAGGCCUAUGGUAUCCAUCCAACUCAGGCUUCUUCGUUCAAGCCUACUCAGAUGCAGACCUUGGAGGUUGUGGACUAGACAGGAAAAGCACCACGGGAGGCUGCCAAUUCCUAGACGGGAAGUUGGUUAGUUGGCAAUCAAAGAAACAGACAUGUGUAUCUCUGUCUACCGCUGAAGCAGAAUAUAUCGCAGCUGCCUCCUGUACCUCUCAAGUGAUUUGGAUCCAAAGUCAACUCCGGGAUUAUGGACUCAAUAUGAAAAAGAUCCCACUAUAUUGCGACUCAGAAAGUGCAAUUAGGAUCUGUCAUAACCCAGUGCAACACUCGAAGACUAAGCACAUAGCACUGAGGUAUCACUUCAUUAAAGAUCAUGUGGAAGAUGGGAACGUCGAAAUUCAUUUUGUUCGAACCACUGAUCAACUGGCUGACAUCUUCACCAAAGCUCUUCCUGAAGCAUCGUUCAACAAAAUUCUACAAGGGCUAGGUAUGAUGGAAUCGGAGUCAGUACCAAACAUUACCUCUCAAACUCAAAAGUAAGAAGCGAAAUAGACCGAACGUUCGGGUUCGGGUCUUGUACUAAUGUACCGAAAUGAACCGAACGCUCGGGUUCGGUUGAAUAAUCUGCUUUUCGCUCAUCAAUCAAAGGUAGUUUUCUUGGUUGUAGAUCUUAUGUAUAAUUGCUCCAAUUGCAUUUAUUUUAUUAUCAAAGUUAUUCUCUUUUUAAAACCUAUUUUCUUUGACAACCGAAAUAUACCGAACGUUCGGGUUCGGUUCCAAAAUUUUUCUUACCCGAAAUAGACCGAACGCUCGGGUUCGGUUCCAAAGUUUUUCACAACCGAAAUAAACCGAACGCUCGGGUUCGGUUCCAAAUUUUUUUCUCUCUGUAAUUUUUUUUCUUUUUUCUUUUUUUUUAUUUCAUCUUUUAUUUAUUCAUAAAAACUCCAAAAAUAUUUUUUUUAUAAAUUCAAAAACUCCAAAAAUAUUUUGUUCUUUAUUUUCUUUUUGGCUUUAAUUUUAUGUGUGUGUUCGUUUAUGGGGAAAUUAUUGAAUUAGCUAAGUGUCCCUAGAAGCAUGCUGCUGUAUGUGUCCAAAGCCUCACCUGAUUCUGAAUAAUAGGCCUUACUGACUUGGUAUAAACAAACCUUGUCUUCCCAAUUAGGCUUCCUUAUUUAUUCUAAUCAUGAGCUACCUAACUCUCUUCUCACAUGAGAUAAGAGUUUUCUGCUUGGUCCAGUUUUUCACAGCAGAGGUACUUUGUUUUCUUACACCAUCUAAAUUGCAUUUCUCCAUCACUUUCGUUUCACAAAAGUAACCCUUGAGACUCUCAGAAAUUACCACUGAGGUUUAUGGUUACACAAUUUCUGUGUUUAUGAUCUUAGUUUCGUGUCACUACGAUCUAAGUGAAACCCAAAAUUCAAUACCCAAUACGAAUUGACGGUGAACAAUUAAUUUGCUCUAGUUUUCACUAAUGAAUUGACGUACGUACCUCCUUGAAAUCUCAAAAUUUUCUUUUGUGUGAUUCCUAUGAAAUUGUUAACACCCAUAACAUUUCUUCCCUUGGGAUCCAGUUUUAAAUUUUUGUUGAGAUUUUUUUUAAAAUGUCCUAGCCAAAUUAAAUUAUCUCCAACCUACUUGUUCAAUAGACUACACCGGUCUCACAAGUACUUCGUUCGAUUUCUGUCUUAUAUCAAGACUAGGAAUUUUGAAUCGAAGCGAUAGCCACCUUAAUAAGCCUAGUUAAAAGAAGCCUUUCAACACUUCUUAAUAAGUGUUUGAUCGUUAUUCAACGGGAAACCACACAAACACAUUAAGGUCUCUCUUGACUUUGGAGGAAGAGAUUCGUGUCCGGGAUCAUUUGUUUCGUGUCUUUAUUGACAUCACAUUUUUUUCCUAAAAAAAUUUGCUUUAUUUCUUUUCUUUUACACCCUAAGCACGAAAAUCUUUGAUUUUACAAAAUUCAGGUUCUAUUAAUUACAAGGAUUUUUUCUUGGAUUGGCAGUCGAUUAAAGGCUGUGGUUGAUUUUAAUCCACGUGGCGGUAUUUUUCAAAAGAUGUCGUUACAAUUCAAAGGGAUAAGAUGAAGACAUGCUGACUCAGGCGGGAGUCUAAUCGAUUUGAUUUCAAACGGCGCUAAAAGGGAAAGCGUGUGAAUCGGAAUCGUUUAAUCUCCAAACGACACAAGAAGGGCGCGUGUGAAUCUGAACCGUCUCGUCUCCAAACGGCGCCUGAUGGGAAGGCGUGUUAUUUGGGAUAUUACACUCUCUCUCAUGCGUAAUCAUCGGCAACCCCAACUGUCAUGCAUCAGUCAACUCCGGGAAAACCCUUCGUUUUUCGAUAGAAGAUGUGGGAAGAUCUUUCUCUCUCCUUACCCCACAGUAUAAAAGGCAACAUCCUCCACCGUUUACCUCUUUACUGCAAUUAAAAUUCCCAGAGCGCAAGAAAUCCCUGAACCUUCACUGUUCAUCAUCUUCUCCACUUUCUUCAAGCAAUGGCAGAUUCAUCUUCUGUUCACGCAACAUCCCACAUACUGCCCAUUCGCCCACAACAAAGCCUAAUCAUCGAUUUAUCCCCUCAUGUUUACGAUGCCUUCAUGUUCCCCAUUAUCGAGUGUUUGAAGUUUUCGCCGAUUGCUCCUGCACUUACAAGAGCUGAAUCCGUUCCGAUGGAGUUCUUGUCGCAGAUCUUUGCGACUGCUCACUACGACAAGGUCGUUGACAGAAUCUUCUUUGAUAUUUUUCAGCAUAAGGCCUCAAUUUCAAAACAAAGAUUUUGCUCGUUGUUAGGGUUUGAACCUGAUUCUUCGAGGGUUAACGCUGAAACGAUUCCAAUGGGGCAUUUGUUCAACAUGUUUUACAACAUGGGUUAUACGGAGGUGCUUACUACGGUCACGAAGUUCAAGAAGUCGUGCCUACCGCCACAGUGGAACGGGAUGUUCACUGUUCUAUUCAAAUGGUUAUGUAAAAGAAGUGCUGGAUCUGAUGGUGCCAGUCGGUUGUUUUUGUCCAUAAUGUAUGGUCUCUACAAUGGCAUCAACAUGGAUUAUGGGUCUGUUCUNNNNNNNNNNNNNNNNNNNNNNNNNNNNNNNNNNNNNNNNNNNNNNNNNUGAUCACGAAAUGGGUGAUGGACAAGUACCACGUCCCCAUUGUCGCUGGUGCUCCAAUGUCUUCGAUUGGUACAUUCCAUACCACAAAGAUUAUUGUAUCGGACGCUUCAAAGUUUCCAUUCAACGGUUCAAUUCCGGAAACUAUGUAUGGAGAUGUUCCAGCUGAUAGCCGGAUUAUCAGAACAUACAAAGAAUUCAAGCGUUCUGGUCCGAGGGAUCUCACUCCGGAGAUGUUGAAGUCUAUUCAUGACGCCGACAAGCCUGCUCCAAGAGGCAAGAAGGCUGAUAAAGGGAAACAGGUGGCGAAAGGGGCUAAAGGCCCUUCUCCAAAGAAGAGGAAACCAACCAAGGCUGCUCAGUCUCCGCAGCAAAAGCACCGAAAAACUCAGCCCAAGCGAAAGCUGAUCAUUGCUUCCUCCUCAAGCGAUUCUGAGGGUGAGAGUUCGGAUUCUGACGAAUCUCCACGAGGCAACACUCCACCCAGAUCUCCUACCCCAGAGAUUCAUGUCUCUACUUCUCCCAUUAAUUCUCCACCUAGAACCAUUCCUUUUUUUAUUCCCCCCAUAACCUCCACUACUUCAAUACCACCCACUUCUAUCCCAAUACCAACACCAAUAUUCACCGAAGCAACCACAACAUCCACUGCAGAUGUUAGAGCCAAUGUAUCUGAUACGGGGGUUCAUACUGAUGCACCCGAAACCACUCCAGCACCCGAAACCACAAAAGCACCCGAACCUACACCAACACCCGAAACAACCCAACCCGAACCUACCCAUACUACUACACCACCAGCUUCACCACCACCACCUUCUCCUGGUCAUGUUUCAGAGGGUGAAGAACCAUUCCUUGGCGGGGAAGAUAUGACGUUUGACUCGGUCUACUAUAGUCCGUUUCAAAUACAGAGUGAUGACGAUGACGACACUCCUGUCACCAAACGACAUCUCAAGGAGCUCCAUGACAAAGUUGAUUUACUCAUCGCCUCAUCUUCCACUUCUCAGUCAUCCCUUUCUGAAGAUGCAGUUCAGAAGAUUGUUGAUGCUUUCUCAAAGGCUCAGCAAGAUUCCAUUGCUUCUGCAACCUCCGCCAUCGACGCCUCAACAAAAGCUUGUCAGGAUGCGACCGAAAAAGUCGAUAAACUAUUUUCUGAUGCCUCCGUCCUGUUACAGUCUUUACAGGAGAGUGCAAAUGUUGCUAAGACUACGUUGGAACCAAUUGUUCAACAGUUGACAACGUCUGUCUCAACUGAGUUGAAGUCCUUCGCUUCAUUUCGUCAAACGCUUUCUGACGACAACUCAGCAUUUCGUGCAACCAUUGACGAGCGUCUCUCGAAGCUACAAGAAGAUUUGGCUGCUGAGAAUUCUUUGAUGGAUGUUCUAGCCAAGAAGACCACUGCUCUGAAGGUCAAGAGUGUUCAACUUUCCCACUCUCAACAGGUGAUUGACUCUCUUCGGUCCGAAAGGGAGGUGAUAAAGUCGUGUGUUUCGGAUGUCCACUCUGCCAUCUCCAACAUCCUCGAAGCACAUGAUCCCAUCCUUAACUACACUGUGAGGCGUGACCUUGCAGAGAAGCUCGCUCCCGCCCUUGGCCUGCUAAGUAAACUUGAAGGGUUACUUGAUUUCGUGUCCAUUCCGAAACAAGGGGGAGAGAAGGAAUCUGUAUCCCAACCACCUCAUUCCUCAAAGGCAACUCACACUACCGAACCUCCUCCAGUGGGCCAAGCCUCCGGUUCGGGUGUGAAAGACAAAGGCNGGAAGAAGAUGAAGAUGAAGAGACUAUCGCUGAUCUUUUAAAGCGAAAACGUCGAAAUGAUGAGGCUGAUGUCAGUGCUUAUGUGGCAAUAGAGGCUGAAGAAGCAGAAAGAAAACAGAAGGAAGCCCACGACCUUCUUGAGAGUAGGAAAACUCUUUUUCCUGGUUGGACUCUCGAGAGGAUGAUUAAAGAGCCAUCGACACUCCAAGUAUCUUGUGGCUGGAACUUGUAAUAUCACUUGAUUGUUCCAACACUGUCGACUCUCAAUUCGACAUGCCUCUGACCCGAAAGGCGUUCAUCUUUCACGCCUUCGCCAACGUUUUAGAGUUCCCUCAUCCUCAUCCACAGGUUGAUCGGGACUUAAUCGAUUUCUAUCUGAAGGCUGCUCAACCUCAGUAUCAGACUUGGAGCGCUCAGAAGAUUAUCAACGUUCGGGUCUUGAAGCCGUAUAUUGAAGGGAACUUCAUCAACAUUCAGUUCUAGGUACUUCGGGGAUCUGCCAAAACCGAACAUGCCAUUUCUCUUGCAGAUCUUCAGAACCUCAAUCCCCAUGAUUGGAUAAUCUUGCACAACAUCCUUCUAACCAAUGAAGCUGAAUACGGUCCGAUCAUCGACCAUCUCAAGAGGAUGCUGGUGUGCUACAUCAUGGAAGUUGCACUGAUGGAUCAGGAGAUUGCAAGCGUAUUUAAGAAGAAACCAAAAAUAUCUCCUGUUGGCUCGGCCAGUGAUCUGAACCAAAUGCAGAUGGGUAGAAUUGACUCAAGAAGGAAUUCAGUCAUGUUCACCAGAAACGAAGGACAGAAAUGUCUUUUUGCCUUGGCUGACAAACAUCUGUACACUACUGCUUGCUUAGAGCAUGUUUUGGGGAUCAUCCACAGAUGCAAGCAAAACUCAGCGGAUGAUGUCAAGUACUUCGAUGACAUGAUACAAUGGUACAUUCGGUUCAGACAGACUAUUCUCGCUCUUAUCNCACCACAAAGAAAGUUCCCGCUGCUGGCCUAAGCAAGAAGAAGAAGUAGUCUCGCUCCAAUUUGACGCAAAGGGGGAGAUUGUUGGGUCGUGUUUUGAAUGUUGCGUCUAUUGGGUUCGUUUGUUAGUCCAUUUUUUGUAUCUCCGGUAUGGGCCCGUCCAUCCGUGAGAAUAGUAGGGUUUAUUAUAAAUAUAGGUGCUUGCAUGCAUCUUAGGUUAACGAUAGAAAAGGAAGUAACGAUAGAAUAGAUUGAUCAGAGAAGUUUUAUUAUCGUUCUUGUAACCCUAAAUCCUCUACAGCGGUAGUUCUUAGUCGAGCUCUGCUGAUGAUUGUUUGAAUUAAUCAUUCGACACAUUGUGAUUCAAUCUUGUCUUGUUUAUUGUUUUAUGUUCUACGCACUACCUGUUACAAAGAUCUAAUCGAUCUCCAAUUAUUUAAUAUCUUAUCAACUUUUAAAAAGUUGACCUUUGACUUUUAAUUUUGACUUUCUCGUUUGACUUUUAAUUUUUCAAAUUUGGCUUUUCGGUUUGACUUUUCAAGUUUGGCUUUUUAAAUUUGACUUUUAAGGUUGACUUUAUUGGUUUUUUUAGUCAAAGGGCAAUUAAAAAUAUAUAAAAAAAUAAAAAAUAAAUAAAAAAAAUAAAAAAAAGAAAAUGAGUUCCACAUCAAUUCCGGUAAAUGAAGUUUCAUGUACUCCAUCUUGUAAAGCUACAAUUAAAUUUCUUCGCGAACAGAUUGACUUGUUAAAAAGAGAAAAUGAGGACCUCAAAUAAGAAGGCUAUACUCUUAGGAAAGGACAGAAACCGUUAAAAGCUCAAUUAGAAACAAAAAUCAAGGAUUUCCGGAAAAUACAAGAAGAUUACAGCAACAAGUGUGAAAAUUAUGAUCACAUUAAGAAAAAACUUGAUGCUGUAACUGAAAAACUUGACGUUUUGAAAAUAAAGUGUGGAAAAACAGAUGUUAGUUUCAAAAAUUACACCGCGUCAAGUAAGACAGUCGAGUCCUUAUAUGAAACCCAAUUAAAAUUCAAAGAAAAUCAAAACAAGGGUCUAUGGUAUGAUAGUGUUCCUCCACCAUUCAAUCAUAACUACACAUCCAUCCCUAUAACACAGGACGAAAUUGACAGGGAGGCACAUCUUCGAUAUGGAAAACCAGUUGGAUUUGUGUCAGGAGGUAUUCAAGUUGAAGAUACUAAUGCUUCUACUUUAUGUGUAGGUAAAGUAGCAAAGGAUGAGAACAAGGAGAACACCAUUGAACAAACCAACAUCUCCUUGAACUUUGAAUCUGUUGCUUCGAAAUCAACUGCUUAUGAUCACCCUGCCGUUGAGAAAUAUAGGCCACCAAUUCCAACGCAACAGAGUUCUUGUUGCAAGUGUGCAUGUGGGAACAACAAGAGACAAGGCAUGGAUACUGUGACAUCCCUAAAAUCUCGUCCAGAAAAGACCGGUUUCAUUUAUGCUUUUUAAAAUAAUUUCAGAGUAAAUCCUUUUGAUUUAAAAGAGUUGCGGAAUUUGUUCCCAAAACAAAAUAUGAUAAAAUAAUAUUUAUCAAAGCAUUUCAUCAAGAGAUGCAUUUCCAUUAUAUAAUCAAAACUCGGNAACUCGGGAUGUCAUGUUCCGAUAUAGACCAUAAAGCAUAAAUGAUAACAUUACAAGUCAUUCAACAAAUAUAUACAUAUACAGACUUGUAAACAAAACAACUCGAUGAUUCAUCCAUCUUAUGCCCUUGCGCCACUUCCUUUAAUACAAAUAAAACUGAGUGGGUCAGGCUUGAGAGCCCGGUGAGCAUAUAGGGUUUUCAACCCACAAUAAAUAAAUUAUAUUUAAUUUCACCAACCAACGAUAUCCCAAUCACCCAUUCCCGUUAUCCUCUGUCACACCCCUAAACCGGAACGGCGGAAACAUUCGGGGGCGGAUGACUUCAUGUGGUAGCAUAACAAAUGAAUACAUAGUAAAGAAAGCAGUUCCCGAGCCAGUAGUACUCGAGUUGUUGAUCUGUGACAUGGCAGCUGCUACAGCUACGGUGACUGUUGCUUGGAAUAUGACGGCAUCAAAUUGAGGAGGUGGAGGUGGUGGUGGUAUAGGUGCUUCCNNNNNNNNNNNNNNNNNNNNNNNNNNNNNNNNNNNNNNNNNNNNNNNNNNNNNNNNNNNNNNNNNNNNNNNNNNNNNNNNNNNNNNNNNNNNNNNNNNNNGUUACUUUCUUCUAACGCAUAAUUAUGAAGUAUUUUAUACGAAAAAUGUGUUAUGUGUAUACUUUUGUUGUUAUGUAUGUGAAUGUAUAUUCACUCUCUUCUAUCUCAUAGAUCUGAUUUAUUUUCUAUGAAAUACGUGUUAUGUGGGUGUGCCUCAUCUGUUAUGUGGAAUAUGUAUUGAAUGAAAAUGCUAUACAGGUUUUAAACUAUGUAUGAAAAUAUAUAUUUUUAUCUACUAAUAUGUUGGGUAGAACAUGGGUAGAUAGUUGGUGUGUAAUAAACAGAUGAGAGGCCUCGAUGUUGUUGUUGUUGUUGAUCUAGUUAUUCAGCGGAGUAUGGAUAACGACCACGGACUCUUUCUAGACAGUCCAGUGGAACGCUAGCAGGUUCAUAACCUGUAGGUGUUGUGAACGAUGUGUUCACCGGUGUACUCUAUCCCCUCAUGGUUGCCUUUAGGAUAUCUAUUGUUGUGGAAACCCCUUAGCAGUAAUGUCAGUCCCGAUGAAAAUCCUAGAUUAGGUCCCUUGAGAUAGAUGUUGUUUUAGGGACGUAAAGUGAGGAUGUGACAACCCGAUAUUUCAACUCUAUGUAAUGACCUAAAAAGUCAAGUAUUGUAACCACUUUUGUGAUAAUGAAAUUAAAUUCGGAAAUAAAAUGUCUAAAAAGUUCUUAUUUAAUUACCUACUUGUUUGAUGUCAUUAAACCAUGAUCGUACGUAAAAAGAACGCCCAAAUCCGACUUCGUAUAUUGAAGUUAUGAUUUUUCCAAGUUCGGCUUAGCGACAGACAGCUAAAAACUCGAAUCGGAGAUCGAACGAAUUUUGACCGGAAUGACCUAAACGAGAAUCAAAGGUCUCGACAAUGGUAUUUCAUCGGUAAAAAGUCUGGCAAAAACAGACGUCAGAUAAAGAAGUUAUGAAUUUCUAACGGAAUUUCCUUAACGCGACAUUUUAAAAAUAAAUAAUAAAAAUAAUUUCAAAAUUUGCCGACGGAAUCUAAACGAAAGUUGUAGAGCAUAGUCUCACCUACGCGUGGAUAUAAAGAACGUCGAAAACGGAGUUCGUAUGAAGAAGAUAUGAAUUUUAGAAGUUUAUAUAAAAUUUAAAUUUUAUUAUUUAACCUUGGUAUUAUCCGAAGGCAAGUCAUCAGAUAGGGUCGAGUUACGCCCAACGUAAGCUUGUACGCCCAGCGUACUCAAGGCCUAGGCCUCGCAUCGUCCACAUCUCGCCCUAUGCGAAGCUAGCACCCGUCCCAUCCGAACUCCGAGGCAGUCGAGGAUCCGGUCAUGCGUGACGCACGCGUACGCCCAGCGUACCGAGGCGGUUCCCACCCCUUAUAAAAGGGAUGCGAGGGUUCCAAAGAAAAGGGCCAUUCUCUCUCAUUUCUCUUGCAUUGUUGCCUCGUUUUUCGUGCCCGUGCUAACCCGAAGCCCCGAUCACUUUGCUCAAGUCCCGAAGGUCGUUUGUACUCCCGAGAUUCCCGAGAAUCCCGAGAAAAUCCGUUUUCCCGAGAAGAAAUUUUGCCCGGUUUUCACCUCGCCUUUCUUCGAUCUUUCAAGUGAGUUCAUACCCCCUUAAUUAACCCUUUUAAAUAUUCUAUAAAUGCUUUUAUAUGCUUUCAAGGGGGGGGGGGGANAGUAAAACACACGAUUAUUAUCGUGUGUUAUAUAAAGUUUUAUUAUACACUUUUAUUCAACAGAAUCAUAUGUGAUUUAUAAACUUUAUAGGGAACUUUCGUAUAUAAAAUAUAUCACGAUAACAUUAUAUCUUUUGAAAUGUAAAAUGUUGUCAUAUAUGUAUAAAUUAAACAUUUUGCUUAGAUUAUAUGUAUACGUGUCCAACUUAGACACUAUAAAAAUCUAUACUUUCAUAACACGUGGUUCAUUUUCUAGGGAUUUCUAAAUAGACGAGACACACUUUUAGAAAGCUAUAAUAGGUAUAGUUUUACGAGNNNNNNNNNNNNNNNNNNNNNNNNNNNNNNNNNNNNNNNNNNNNNNNNNNNNNNNNNNNNNNNNNNNNNNNNNNNNNNNNNNNNNNNNNNNNNNNNNNNNUUAUAUCAACAUUAAUGACAAGCCCAGAAACACAGGCGUUACAGGUACGCCACCAAUGGCAGGAAGAAACAACUCCACAGUGAAGAAAAAGACAUGUUUUCACUGUGGAACACCUGGACACAUUGCCAGAAAUUGUCCUAAUCGAGCAUAUGUUCCCUACUAUGCACAAGGAUGACAAAACACGCAAAGUGGGAGAUUCUACAAAAGAAACCCUUCGAGGCCACGUUCGGACAAUGACGACUGGAAUGCAACGAAGGGCAAGAGUUCAACUCCUAAGGCCAAGAAAUCAAAUCCCAAGGUCAAGAAGGGAAUGUCGGCCAAGAAGCCAAAUCCAAGAGAUGCUCCUAUGAAGUCAAAAUCAAAGUCAUCUCAACGGCCGACAUCUAGAUCAAAAACAAGUACUGAGCCACCCAUCAGAUCGGAAAAGAAAUGGGUUAAACCCAACUACAAANUAAAUGGGUUCCGAAGGCUCAGUCUCCCAAAUCUUCUAACGAUUCUAAUAUUUAUACAUCUUCUGUUUGUGAUAAGCAGGAUAUGUCAUGGGAGAAAGUAUCGUGAAAGGAUGACAAAUGUCGACCUAGUUUCAAAAUGGACUGGGUUCCAAAAGACCAACUGAUCCCGCUCUGUGUCGGAGCAGCUAUGGAGGCAUAUCAUCAGACUUCGGUUUGUUGGUAGUGGCUGUUCCAGGCACUUGAUAGGAGGCAUCUCUCAACUGUACAACAUUCAAACCUUUGUUUGAGAGUAUGUGUCCUUUGCGGGAAAAGAAGAAAGGGAGAGAUCACUCACGGGGUUUGUGCUUAAUGACAUGAAGAAUUUUCGGAUCUGUUCUGAGAUUACGCGUGCUGUUCUCAGACCUUCUGGAUGCAAAUUCAAUCGGUGACUUACGGUUUGAGUUUUCUUCUCUAUACUCCUGAGUUUUUCUUAAGCUGAUUCGCUUUAAAGACUAAUUUUUGUUUUAGGAUAGUUUAAAUUUGCGCAUUUACUUUUGUUUCUCUCCUAUGCACAAAUUUAGGGGGAGAAAAUUAGAAAAUAAAAAAACAUAAAAAUUAGAAAAUCCAAAAACAUAAAAAUUAGAAAAUCCAAAAACAUUAAAAAUUAGAAAAUCCAAAAACAUUAGAAAAUCAUAAAAACAAAAAAAAAAAUUAUUAUGCUGGUUAUAGAAUGUGCUUGAAGGAGAUGCUUUGGGAAGUGAUAUGAUUAUGUGAUAACAGGCAAUCUGAUUCUGUGUAACGUACCCAAAGUUGAAGGGUCUAUGCUCUGGUUUGAUGCGUUGGUAGGCACGAAAGAUUCUAAAUGGACAUGACUAGGCAUAGUUGAACUUAAGAAAUAAAAUGACUUGACAAAUCUUGACCUAGUUAGAUCCGUUUAGCCUGACAAUACGAAGCUUGGAUAGGUUGAGCAGGGAAAUAUAUAUGGGAAUCUACUCGUCACAUUAAAUGAACCCGUAUCUGGAACCGUGGUUUAAAUUUUCCUCGAUGUGCGGAUUCUGUCCUUAAUUCCGGUAUUGAUGGGGGCAACUGGUAAAUUUCGAUAAAUUAGGUCUGUAGAAAAUCAUUUUCUUUCUUUCUGUUUGUUAGUCAUAUGUUACCUCCUCUGCGUGAUUGGAAGAGAUCCGACCUAGACUGUAACAUAUGCAAAUCUGUUUCUCUGCAUAUUAUACAUACGUAUAUAUAUAUAUAUAUAUAUAUNUCUACUCGUCACAUUAAUUGAACCCGUAUCUGGAACCGUGGUUUAACUUUUCCUCCAUGUGCGGAUUCUGUCCUUAAUUCCGGUAUUGAUGGGGCAACUGGUAAAUUCCGAUAAAUUAGGUUUGUAGAAAAUCAUUUUCUUUCUUUCUGUCUGUUAGUCAUAUGUUACCUCCUCUGCGUGAUUGGAAGAGAUCCGACCUGGACUGUAACAUAUGCAACUCUAUUUCUUUGCAUAUUAUACAUAUACAUAUAUGAAAUUCCUCUUAUCUGUUAGCCAUAUGCUGUCUCCUUUGCGUGACUAACAAUCCGACCUGGUACACAGCAUAUGCACUAUAAGUGAUAAUACUCUGAAUUUGUCUUCUCCCCUAAUGAUGGUCUGUUCAUCCGAUGUAAGGAGUACUCUGGAAGUCCUUGAUUACCGGGGCAUAUCUGGAAGCGGGAAACAUGUUCCAGUACAAUUAAAAUUGAACACUCAAAUAUUGUCUAUAGAUCUCACUACUCAAUUUAGGUGGACAACAAUAUCCCUGGUCGUCGUCAGCUAAUGGUCCUUAAGAUAUAGUAUCUAGAAACUUAGGACCAAAUAUAAUAUCUAGGAACUUAUGAUCACAUUGUCUUGUCACUUAUAGUAUGUCCUAAUUUUUGUCACAAUUUUUCGUGUUUAAGUGGACAACAAUAUCGGCGAUCGACCAGACAAAGAUGUGAAUAUGAAAGGUACCGACAAGCGGAUAAAGGCUGUCUAAAAACUUUGAUCCCAAAUCAUUCUUAAAGUUAGAUAUCAUUUUUUUUUUAAAUUUGUUCAUAGUUUUCCUUUAUGCACAAAUUUUAGGAGGAAAAUUAAAAAUAAAUCAAAAAUCAAACAAAAAUCAGAAAAUUAAAAAAAUCCAAAAUAGUGUUAUUUCUUGUUCAGAAAAAUCAGAAAAUCCAAAAAAAAUAUUUUGUUUCUGCUUUAUUUUUUCAGAAAAUAUGAAAAAUCCAAAAAUAUUUUUUUUGUGCUAAUUUUUCUUUUAGUUUUGUUUUGUCUUGAAAAGUGAUUUCAGGCGUAGAUGAGACUUGUGGAGACUGUAUUGAAGAUCUUUUGAGCCAAGGCUUCAUCCGUGAGCAUCGAAGAAUUCGCAUUCGAAGGAUCAAGAAAUGAAGAUUAUUCUUUCGACAUUCAAACUGUCAAUCCCAGAAGCAUGGUGAAGCUAUACUUGAAGAUUAUGUGACAGAUUGCAUUGAGCUUCCUCAAUCAGUCCGCUGCUAUCUUGUACCUGCUGAAGAGAUCCAAAAGAUUAUUUCUCUCUGAUGUUCUCCCUGAAGAUUCUCAAGCUGAAAGAGCUAUCUUUCAAGAAUCUUUUCAAGAAGCCUCCUCACCCAACGUGCGUUCAAUGUCAAAUUUUGAAGAAAACCCCAACCGCUCAAGAUGAAUUCAGUUAUUGAAGAUUCAUAUGUUCAUCUUGAUGCUGUGAAGAAAUUUGAAGAUUAAUGCUGAAGCCAAGCUCCCAAUGAAGAUUAACAAGAAAAGGCCAGCUACUUUUUAGGGGGAGUUUGUUGGGCCAAUUAGAAAAGAAAGCUAUAAACCAAGGGGGGAGAUUGUUGGGUCAAAAAUAUGGUUUAUACUUUGCUUUUCUAGGAAAAUAUAUUUUUAUGUAAUGUUGUAUGUGUUUGCGGUUUGUGUGUACGGCCGUACAUGUGUGUACAGCCGCACACCCUGUGUACGGCCGUACACAGGGUGUGCGGCUGUACACAUGUGUAUGGAUGGAGGUCCAUAUAAAUAGAUGAGUGCAUGUGGGAGUGUACGGUUAGAGUGGAGGAAGAGGCUAGAGAAGAGAGAGAAAAUUAGAGAGAAGAAGUGUGUGUGAGAGAGAAUCUAUUGUAAGGAGCAUCAAUCAUAUCAUCAAUACAUUAGAUUCAAGUUGUUCUUCGUUUCCUUCUCUUCUAUAUUGAUCUGACAUCAUCCAAUUGAUUGAGAUUCCGCACCAUCAAUUGGAUCUGAUUGAUACACAAGCAAUUUUGGAGACUUACAUUUAAUAAAUCAGUUAGACUAGUUAUAUUUAAUUUUAAAUGUAACAAGAUGAAGAAAUGACCUCCUUGAAGACGACUUAACCAUUUAAGACCAUAAUCCAAACCAUAAGCUUCUACUUUUGGUUUUGGGAUUAAUUAUAGUCUUAAUGGUUUAAGUGUUGCAACUUUCAUAACAUGAAGAUUUAAGGUUCUUAUUCAAGCAAGAGUUGACUUGGCAAGUGGAAACUUGAAGACCUUUUGAAGUGUCCCUUAAGUCCUUUAGGAAAGACUUAAUAAUUCUUGUGAUGGCUCACAAAAAUUAUUACUAGACAUGACUUGGUUUAUACACAUUAUAAUGCAUGCUUGUGAUGUUUAUUUUGUGUUAAUUGUAUGUUAUGUUUUGUGUAUGAAAAUGAGUUUUACAUGCCAAACAACAUUUUAACAUAAGAUAAUAUCACUUGGAGUUUGAUUAAAAAAUAUUUAAAAGAUAACGUAAGAUGUUUAUAAAUGGAUAUUUAUAAAAACGUAUUUACCGGUUAAAACUCAAUUUUUUUUUUGUUGAAAAUAGUCUUAUUGUAAAACUUAUAUGUGACAUCCCCAAAAUCUCGGUCAGAAAAGACCGUUUUCAUUUAUGCUUUUUAAACAUUUUCAGAGUAAAUCCUUUUGAUUUUAAAAGAGAUGCAGAAUCUGUUCCUGAAAACAAAACAUGAUAAAAUAGAUCUUUUAUCAAAACAUUUCAUAAUCAAAAUCGUGAUGUCAUGUUCCGAUACAGACCAUAAAGCAUAAACGAUAACAUUACAAGUCAUUGAAAAAAAUAUAUACAUAUACAGACUUGUAAACAAAACAACUUGAUGAUUCAUCCAUCUUAUGCCCUUGCGCCACUUCCUAUAAUAGAAAUAAACUGAGUGGGUCAGGUUUGGGAGCCUGGUGAGCAUAUAGGGUUUUCAACCCACAAUAAAUAAUUAUAUUUAAUUCAACAAUCAACAAUAACCCGAUUACCCAUUCCCGUUAUCCUCACUUUACGUCCCUAAAACAACAUCUAUUAUAAGGGACCUAAUCUAGGAUUUUCAUAGGGACAGACAUUACUGCAAAGGGGCUUCCUUAGCAAUAAAUAUCCUAAAGGCAACCAUGAGGGGGAUAGAGUACACCGGUGAACACGUCGUUCACAACACCUACAGGUUAUGAGUCUGCUAGUGUUCCACAGAACUGUCUAGAAUAGUCUGUGGUCGUCAUCCAUACUCUGCUGAAUGACUAGAAUAACACCAACAACAUCGGGGCCUCUCAUCUGUUUAUUACACACCAACUAUCUACCCAUGUUCUACCCAACAUAUUAGUAGAUAAAAAUAUACAUUUUAUACAAAGUUUAAAACCUGUAUAGCAUGCUCGAUCAAUACAUUUUUCCACAUAAUAGAUGAGGCACACACACAUAACACGUAUUUCAUAGAGAAUAAAUCAGAUCUAUGAGAUAGAAGAAAGUGAAUAUACCUUCACACAUAUAAUCAACAAAGUAUACAUGUAACACGUAUUUCGUAUAAAAUACUUCAUAAUAAUGUGUUAGAAGAAAAUGACUACACACUCACUUGAUCAGAAGAUGAUCGGGCAGCACUACGGCUUGCAAAAGUAGUGUUUCUCCGUAGAUCUGGAAGAUUUUCACAAAAACCGGGCUCCUUGCGGGCAGGGCUUCGGCUCGGAAAUCUCACUUCUCGGGAUCCUCGGGGCUUUGGAUCUUGCUUUGGGGCUCGGGAAUGAUACCGGGGCUUUGGGAUAUGAUUGGCAUGAAAAACGAGGCAAAAACUAGAGAGAAGAAAGAGUUUGAACAAGAGAAAAUGGUUGAUCACGGUUUCUAUUUAUAGGCUGCUGGGUCUGGGAUUACGCUGGGCGUAACUUGGUUACGUUGGGCGUACUUUGACGUCACUGCGUGCGUCAAUUGGUGGCACUUGAGUAUUGGUCAGACAAGUUGCAUCCCUCUGAGUACGCUGGGCAUACUCAAAUUACGCUCGGCGUAAUUUGACUCGUCAAACUUCUAAAUUGCGUAACUUUCGCAUACGAGCUCCGUUUUUGACGUUCUUUAUAUCCACGCGUAGGUCAGACCAUACUCUACAACUUUCAUUUAGACUCCGUCGGCUAAUUUUGACUUUUAUGUUUAUUAUUUAUUUUNUUUAGAAGGCCGGGACAGAAAAACUUUAUUAUAAAUUCACAACUUCUUCGCCCGAUGUCCGUUCUCGCCUAACUUUUCAUCGUUUCGCUACUAAAAACGAGAUCUUCGAUUCUCGUUUAGAUUGUUUCGGCUAAAAACCACUCGAUCUCAAAUCGAGUAUUCGGGCUGCAUACUGUCAAGUCGAAACUUCAGAAAAUCAUAACUUCCUCAUACGAAGUCAGAUUUGGGCGUUCUAUAUAUAUUCGGAAACCUCGUUUCGGCCACUACAACUUUAUGCAAAUAUAUUGAGUUUAUUUUACACUUAAAUUUUGACGCUCAUUUUAUUUUUAAUUCAUUAAAUUAUAAUAAUUAAGAAAAUACACACAUAAUUCACAUAAUUCACAUAAUUCACAAAUAAUACAUUUUUAUUAUUUCAAAUUGGGUUACAAAGGUUAACCUAGACUAUUACAUUGCUAAAAAUGGCAAGCCCAGAAACACAGGCGUUACAAUUCUCCCCACCUUAUAAUGAUUCCGUCCCCGAAAUCACACAUCAACAAACAACUGCGGGUAGCGACUCAUCAUGUCACUCUCCGUCUCCCAGGUGAGAUUCGGCCCAUUCGUGUGUUUCCAUCGGACAAGCACUAACUCAACCAUCUUUCAUCGCAACUUUUUAGUCUUUCGGUCAACGAUUACCUCUGGUUCUUCAAUCAACCUUUUGUUCUCAUCAAUUCUCAACUCCGAAAGUCGAAUCAUGUCGGGAACUUCUCCCGUAAACUUCCUCAAGUAACACACAUAAAAAGUGUUAUGAAUUCCAUUCAGUUCUUCGGGUAGUUCGAGCUUGUAAACUGGGUUCCCAAUACUCUGAAGAACUUUAAACGGUCCAAUAAACCUUGGACUUAACUUUCCCCUUUUACCAAAUCUUAUAAGUCCCUUCCACGGCGAGACUUUAAGCAAAACCAAAUCUCCAAAUUCAAAAGUCAUCGGUCUUUGCUUUUUAUCAGCAUAGCUCUUUUGACGAUCCUGAGCUGCUAACAUUCUCUUCCUAAUUAUUUUCAACUUUUCAACAGUUUGAUGGACUAUCUCUGGUCCCAUAAACUGCUUUUCCCCAGCCUCAAGUCAACAAGACGGCGUAUGACACUUCUGCUCGUACAAAGCCUGAUAAGGUGCCAUCUUAAUGCUCGAGUGGAAACUAUUAUUACAGGAAGAUUCAACCAAUGGUAAAUGUUCAUCCCAAUUACCUUGGAAUUCCAGGGUACAUGCUCUCAACAUAUCUUCAAGUGUUUGUAUUGUCCGUUCGCUCUGACCAUCAGUCUGCGGAUGGUAAGCUGUACUUAAACACAACUUGGUACCCAAUUCCUCUUGUAGACUUUUCCAAAAUCGUGAGGUGAAACGACUGUCACGAUCCGACACANCACCGUGAAGCCUCACAAUUUCCUUCACGUAAGAAUUUUCAAGCUUUUCCAUAGACCAUUUCUCAUUAGCUGCUAUGAAAUGCACACUUUUAGUGAAUCAAUCAACGACCACCCAAAUCAUGUCGUGACCACUUUUUGUUCUGGGUAGUUUAGUGACAAAAUCCAUAGCAAUGUCUUACCACUACCUAUAGGUACAUGUAAAGGUUCUAAACUCUCGUACGGUUUCUGAUGUUGUGUCUUGANNNNNNNNNNNNNNNNNNNNNNNNNNNNNNNNNNNNNNNNNNNNNNNNNNNNNNNNNNNNNNNNNNNNNNNNNNNNNNNNNNNNNNNNNNNNNNNNNNNNAAACCGGGCUCCUCGCGGGCAGGGCUUCGGCUCAGAAAUCUCACUGCUCGGGAUCCUCAGGGCUUUGGAUCUUGCUUCGGGGCUCGGGAAUGAUACCGGGGAUUUGGGAUAUGAUUGGCAUGCAAAUCGAGGCUAAAACUAGAGAGAAGAAAGAGUUUGAACAAGAGAAAAUGGCUGAUCUCGGUUUCUAUUUAUAGGCUGCUGGGUGUGGGAUUACGCUGGGCGUAAUCUCCAAGUACGUUGGGCGUAAUUUGGUUAUGCUGGGCGUACUUCGACGUCACUGCAUGCGUCAUUCGGUGGCACUCGAGUAUUGGUCAGACAAGUUGCAUCCCUCUGAGUACGCUGGGCGUACUCAAAUUACGCUCGGCGUAAUUUGACUCGUCAAACUUCUAAAUUGCGUAACUUUCGCAUACGAGCUCCGUUUUCGACGUUCUUUAUAUCCACGCGUAGGUCAGACCAUACUCUACAACUUUCAUUUAGACUCCGUCGGCUAAUUUUGACUUUAAUUUUUAUUAUUUAUUUUUAGAAGGCCGGGACAGAAAAACUUCGUUAUAAAUUCACAACUUCUUCGUCUGACGUCCGUUCUCGCCUAACUUUUCAUCUUUUCGCUACUAACAACGAGAUCGUCGAUUCUCAUUUAGAUUGUUUCGGCUAAAAACCGCUCGAUCUCAAAUCGAGUAUUCGGGUUGCAUACUGUCAAGUCGAAACUUCAGAAAAUCAUAACUUCCUCAUACGAAGUCAGAUUUGGGCGUUCUAUAUAUAUUCUGAAACCUCGUUUCGGCCACUACAACUUUAUGCAAAGAUAUCGAGUUUAUUUUACACUUAAAUUUUGACGCUCCUUUUAUUCUUAAUUCAUUAAAUUAUAAUAAUUAAGAAAAUACACACAUAAUUCACAAAUAAUACAUUUUUAUUAUUUCAAAUUGGGUUACAAAGGUUAACCUAGACUAUUACAUUGCUAAAAAUGGCAAGCCCAGAAACACGGGCGUUACAUUAUAAAUACCCAACUUUAAAAUAUUUGAAACAGUUUAAAAGAUGGUUAAACAUUAUAUAAACUCCAUGUCUUUAUAAUAAAUAAGGAGUUUUUAUUAAAAAGAUUAAAAUCGCUUUAUAACGUUAUAACGACAAAUAAUAAAACUAGUGAUUAUUUAUUGCGUCGAAACUUAAUAUAUGAUAUUGGUGUUUUAAACAUAACGCAACAUGUUGAUAUUAUGUUUUAUGCAUGCUAAAUGAGAUUUAAAACAUAAGUAUCAUCACCCAAGUUUUGGUUUAUCAAAAUAUGACUUUUAUCAUAAGAUGCAUAAAAUUGAAUUUAUAAAAUAAAAUGAGUUUUUUCUACAAAUUCAUGAAGUCAUAAGUUUUUUUGAUUGUUAAAAGGAUGUUUAAAAUAAUGCUUUUAUAACUCAUUCAAAACUCCAAGUCUUAAGUAUAAAAUAAAGUUUUAUUAAGACUAUUACCGGUUCUUAAAACCGAUCUACGACUAGACUUUAAAAUACCAGAUUUUAGUUUAUAAUUGAUCGCGAUUAAUGACAAAUAAAACGAAGUUUUUUUUGGCACCAAAAGAACCUCAUAAUAGGUGAUAUGAAUUUUACAAAAGGGUACAUGAAUUGUUGGAUGCAUGCAAUAUUCACAAGACCAUGUUUUUAUAAACUAUAAUUGUAAAACAUAUAUAAAACAUUUUCUAAAAAUGCAAGUCAUUGUCGUCCUUUUGAAGAACAUUCGUUAUAAUUUGAGGGUUUUAGCGUCACGGGGUCACUUGGGCCUAGGAUUGGAUUUUGAUGUUCGGGAUAGUUUUGUAGUUUCUGGUUUCUAAACGGUCACUUUGUCCUAGGAGAGCCGCCGACUCCAACUACCGUCCAUGUACNCUUGUAUGCAUCAAAAACCCCAGGUUCAGCGGGGUAAAUGCAUUAAAAAGGGACAAAUUUUAGCGUAUGGUGCUGCUACAGUUGGUGGCGAACUCGCUUUGGGGAAAAACGUAUUAGUAGCUUAUAUGCCAUGGGAAGGUUACAAUUUUGAAGAUGCAGUACUCAUUAGUGAGCGCUUAGUAUAUGAAGAUAUUUAUACUUCUUUUCACAUACGUAAAUAUGAAAUUCAGAUUAACCAAGGCUCCGAAAGGGUCACUAAUGAAAUACCACAUUUAGAAGUCCAUUUACUCCGAAAUUUAGACAAAAAUGGAAUUGUAAUGCUGGGAUCUUGGGUGGAAACAUGUGAUAUUUUAGUAGGUAAAUUAACGCCCCAAAUGGUGAAAGAAUCAUCGUAUGCCCCCGAAGAUAGAUUGUUACGAACCAUACUUGGCAUGCGGGUAUAUACUUCAAAAGAAACUUGUCUAAAAUUACCUAUAGGAGGUAGGGGUCGGGUGAUUGAUGUGAGAUGGGUCCAGAGUUCUAAGACAGAUGAGACAGAGAAAACAGAAAGUAUUCGUGUAUAUAUUUUACAGAAACGUGAAAUAAAAGUAGGCGAUAAAGUAGCUGGAAGACAUGGAAAUAAGGGUAUCAUUUCAAAAAUUUUGCCUAGACAAGAUAUGCCUUAUUUGCAAGAUGGAAGACCUGUUGAUAUGGUCUUCAACCCAUUAGGAGUACCUUCCCGAAUGAAUGUAGGACAAAUAUUUGAAUCUUCACUCGGGUUAGCUGGGGGUUUGCUAGACAGACAUUAUCGAAUAGCGCCUUUUGAUGAGAGAUAUGAACAAGAAGCUUCGAGAAAACUGGUGUUUUCUGAAUUAUAUGAAGCCAGUAAGCAAACAGUGAAUCCAUGGAUAUUUNAAAAAAAAAAAAAAAGAAUCUAACGCUCUAGUCUAAUUGAAGACUUUCAACGCUCAUGCUAUUUGAAAGAGCUUUCAACAUGGAGUGGAGACUCCAUAACGUACACAAAGAGUAACCGCUCUAUGAAUAUCAUCCUAAUUCAGGUCUUGUUCCGCACUUAAACGGAUAACUCAAAGCCUUACCUUGACCAGGAAAACCUCGAUGACAUAAUCGUUUAUAGUCACUCACUGGAGGUUUGGAACCCUGAGUACAGUGUUCCGGGUGUAGCAGGAAAAGAGGCUGUACGUGAAAGGGUACUCAGACUAAAGUGCUAUUUCUUGGCCAUUGGAUCAGCAAGGGUGUGAUUCAGAUGGAUCAAGAGAAGAUCAGGUCUGUUUUGGACUGGGAAGUGCCGAAGAAGGAGAGAGCAGGCAGCGGUGGUGAAGCCGGAUGCUCGAAGCAAUUUUCUUUUUUUUACGACAAGACAGCUCAGGAGGAGUAGAAAGUUGCCACAACCUAGGAGGGGUUUCUAUUAUAGGAAGCCAAAAAACUUGAGCCUUUUUACAAACUUCUUAAAGGGGGAGAGCGACAGGACGGCUUCAAGGAGAACGUCGAGACGCCAUCAGUUUGGAGCGCGAGGCCAGCAGAGCUUGCUGCAGAGGAGAUCCGGUAACUGUUAUGAAUGUGGAGGAGUGGGGCAUUUUUCUCGUUACUGCCCCAAUGUUCAGACGGACGAAUGCUGCUGGGGGAGUGCAGAAUAGACCAGCUGAAGAUGGAAGAGUGCACGUUGUGGAGCCUAGAGCCCGGGAAGCUCUAAAGGUAAGUGAAAGUCGGAAACAUAGCGGGGGUUCUGAAGCUUAGGAGAGGAGACUGUUUCGCUGUCGUUAGAUUGUGUGGCAACGUGAGCCAACGCCAGCAGAAAGGAGGAGGAGACGGAAGGCUGUAUUCUGAAUUUAUGUCCGAAUUGGACAGUGCAAAGAUGAUCAUUGAUGCUGGGAGUUCGGAUAACAUAGCGUCCACGGAGAUGGUGGGUCAGUUGGGGCUGGGGAAGUUACUUGUUAGUUACAAUGCUACAAGUUGUUUCAAGUAGGAUGACUUGAUCGGAAUCUUAUGUGAUAAAGGUAAUCUAAGCAUGAAAGGUCCGAGACAUAGAUGGGAUAAACAUGUGAAGUUGAGCAAUAAUUGUUUAGGAUCCUAUAAUAUAGGAGUUACAUAUCAUAUGUAAUUGGUAAUCGCUACCUACCGAGUUUGAUUAAGUUUAUGGGAUAAAGGUCACCUAACCAUUUACUUGUUUCGUUACUUGGAUCCUAGACUUUAAUAAAUUAAUGUUUUACAAACAAUAAAAGGUAUUAAUUUUUAAAUACUAAAUAUUGAAAAUACUAAAUGAAACUUUGUUAAAUUCUGUUGAUAACUGUUAAUAAUUUUACGCCCUGCAAAAUCUCUCUCUAGUUGAGUUUCAAGAGACAGUAACAUUUGAUGGUUAUAAUUUCUAUAGCUGAUAUAAUAUCUUGAGGUUUUACCUUUAAGAUAAAUAGGAAUUAUAUAUACUGAAAGAUCCCAUACCUGAAUAAUCUCUGCAACCAGUUAGUCUGAUCAUGAUACUUUGAUAGAAGUAUUAUUGUGAUGAUGUGUCUCACAUCAUACUGAAGAAAUUAACCAUGACUUGCAGAAAGUCUUAGAUAAUUAUGAAACAUAUCAGAUGUCUCAUCAAAUAAAGCAAAUAUUCAAUCAGAACACUAGAAAUAGCUUCAAUUCUGUUCAAGCAUUGAAUAAAAGGAAGUCUAAGAGAUUGUGCACUCAUAUAGACUUAUAGUUCAGUUAAGGGAAAUACAACAUAAACCUAGAAAUCAAGAAAGGACUAAAUGAUUAGUGGUGCUUCUAUUAUGGAAGAAACUGGACACUAAAGGAGGAAUUGCUCAUCUCAUCUCAUCUAGCUGGAAAGUCUAACUUGGACAAGACUUCAUAUAUCUAUAUGAUAGAACUAUUUAUUUUUCCAUCAUUCACUUAAAUAUGUAAUACUUCAUGUGACACUAAUAAUUGAUAUUAUGUGUUGAUGAUUGGAAUAAAUAAUCAACUGAUUACAAAUGGAUUGUAUUUCGUGUUGAAGAUAUAACAAGUGUUGUUAUAGUCUUUAUUUAAACAAUAGAUGUUUUGUACCUAUCCUUAUAGGGACAUGUAACAACUGUAAUUUAUGAAUAAAUCUAGAUUUACUUAUCAUUUAAUGGAUAUUCACAUUCAUGUUCUGAAACGAUGUAUUUUGUGUUAAAGAAUAUUUUCUCGUAAUGUUAAUUAUGAAGUAAAUCUAUAAUCUUCAUUAAAUUAAUAGUUUUGAUCAUAACACCUAUAUAAUCAAAUUAUAUUUGAUUGGAACUUAUCUAUAUCAUAAUCAUCAUUAUAAUAUAAAUAAGAAAUACGUACUUCGAAAGGAUGGAAUUUUUUAAGGCAAAUGAGUUUGAUUCAUUUGAUAUAUGUAAAUCAUAUUUAUAUGGGUAGAUGAUUCACAAGUGUCUUUAUCUAUUAGCAAGGUUGCAGAAAUCGCUCGACGGUGAACUGGGGUCAAAGGAUUAAUCAGAUAGGCGGAGAUUAAUCGGGGGAUUAAUCGGAGACCAGUAAUUAUUAAAAAAAUUAUUAAAAAAGUAAUAAAUAUAACAUUAAUCAUAAGAAUAUAACAUUAAUAAAUAUAAAAUUAUAUCAAUUAAAAAAAUUAUUAAAAAAUUAAUAAAUAUAACAUUAUAACAUGAAACUAUUAUUACAAAAACUCCUUUGAUCCUUCAUACAUCACAUCUAAAUAACCAUAAAAACUGUGGGCUUUAUGAGUUGGAAAACUAGUGCAUCACCAUCAACUAGUUUAUGAACUUCAACAAAUGCUUUCCAUCCUCCACUAAAUCCUGUUUUCCUAGGGAGGUACUUUGUUGAACUUACCAGCCAAAACCCACCCGAAACAAGGGAUAUAAGCAUUGGUUUUAAGAAGUUAGGAAAAUCAGGUUGCAAUUUGGACUAUAGUUCUUUUGCUCUCUUUCUGAAGCAUACUCUCUAUCUUUAUCAGAGGUGUAGAUUCGAUUUAAAAAAUCCCUUAAAUGCCAUAAUUGAUGAAUACAUAACUCAAAUAGUCAAGAACAUGAAUCAGGAUUACUAGGUUAUUUAUAUUUAUAAAAACCAGACAGGCAAAAAAGUUCACCUCCUGCGCAUUCCCAAAGGUUCAAUAAGGAUCUCUCAUAUCAUUUCAAGAAAUAUCACUUAAUAAUUAGUAUAUAACAUAACAGAUUAAAUAGAUUAGAGCUUGAAAUUUGAACUGGAAAUAGAUUAGGUUCAAAAAUGCUUAAACAUAUUCUAGAAAUUGGUAGACGAGGAACAGAAGGAGACUAACCUGAAAUAAUUUCUAGAAAAUGCUUAAACAGACUCUAGAAAAAAAAUGCUUAAACAGAUUCUAGAAAAUGCUUAAACCUAUUUUUUCCCAAAUAAUUUCUAGAAAUUGCAAUACGUACAACAAACAGAAGAAUGAGAAAUGGAGACUGGAGACUAACCUAAAGGAGUAGUCGGAGGAUGAACAGAAGACGCCAGACGAGGAACAGAAGGCGUCGAAGCCUCACACAGAAGCUUCAGCAGAAGAUGACAAACUUCAGACGUUACUAGUGUGCUUCAGACGAACUUUAAAUGAGGAAGAUGGUGUUAUCGUGAACGGAGAAGAAGAUGACAAUGCUGUGAAUGGAGAAGAACAUGGUGGCGUUCGUUCCUUCCUUCCUUGAGUCCGAUAGAGAGAAUUUCAAAAUGAAAAAAAAAUUGAAUGUGAUGGAAUGGGGUAAUCGGAAGGAACCUUACCAUCAACUUUUACAGUUUGACAAUUUAGCCCCUAGAAAUUUUUAAUUUUUGUUGACCAGCAUUGACCGAUUAGAGCGCCUAGACCCGCCUAGCUCCGAUAAUGUCCGACUUUGAUCAAUAUUGACCACGUCUGAUUAGAGAGGCCAAUUAGCUAUAAUUGUCAUCAGUUGAGGACCACCAAGCACCCAGGCGCCGAUUAAUCAGCCGCCUAGGCCGAUAUUUGCAACGCUGUCUAUUAGUAGUUAAAGAACAAAAGGCUUGACAAAGAGUUAUACAUAAGUGAUAUGUGUAAUCUUUUUCAAUCCAUGAAUAGAUUUGGUGAUAGAUACUUAAUCAAUUUCACUGACGACUUUUAUUCAUUGUUGAUGAAACCUUUUGAUUUGAUCAAAUUUUUUCAUAGAGAAGAUUGAAAUACACAUUAAUGAGGUCAUCAUUAACCUUUCGAUGUGAUAAAGAAAAUGAGUUUUGUAAACCAAGUCUUCUAGGAACAUCUUAGGAAUUGUGGAAUCGAUUAACAACUCAUUCCGUCAAAAACACUCACUUGUUAUAAUCGUCAUCAGUUGAGGACCGCCAAGCGCCUAGGCGCCGAUUAAUCGGCCGCCUAGGCCGAUAUUUGCAACACUAUCUAUUAGUAGCUAAAGAACAAAAGGCUUGACAAAGAGUUAUACAUAAGUGAUAUAUGUAAUCUUUUUCAAUCCAUGAAUAGAUUUGGUGAUAGAUACUUAAUCAAUUUCACUGACGACUUCUAUUCAUUGUUGAUGAAACCUUUUGAUUUGAUCAAAUUUUAUCAUAGAGAAGAUUGAAAUACACAUUAAUGAGAUCAUCAUUAACCUUUCGAUGUGAUAAAGAAAAUGAGUUUUGUAAACCAAGUCUUCUUGGAACAUCUUAGGAAUUGUGGAAUCGAUUCACAACUCAUUCCGUCAAAAACACUCACUUGUUAUUAGUAUGGCCCUUGUGGCACAAGGUCACCUGGUCAAUUGAAUCUAUCUUUUGAUAUUCGAGGUAGCCUUCGUAUUCUCUAGUGGGAUAUGGUCACCUGGCUACUAGCUAAAUGUCGAUAGUACAAUUUUUAAAGAGGAUAAAACAUAGACCUUGCAGUCUAUUAUAUGAUGUUUUAAAAGAACUAUUUAGUUUAUAAAAUUUUGGAGUUAUGCUCACUACAACAAAUAUAUAUAUAUAUAUAUAUAUAUAUAUAUAUACACACACACACACAUAUUCCAACCAAACAAAUGGAUUAAAUACUUUCUUAGGCUAAGGACGUAUUGGUUUAUCCUUAUCUAAAAGGUAUGGAGUCAUUGAGCUCAUGUUAGACAAUAAGCUUACUCACUUUAGCAUCUAAUAAUUGCAUUUAUGUAGACUAUCCUAAAUGAUUGUUUAAGAUGAAGUCUCCAAUAAUCCCACAAAUUGUCCUUCCAGAAGACAAAUGCUUAGAAAGUUUAUUUUCUAAGUGGGAGCAAUUUGGAACUUUAAGAGCUAAAGAUCCAUAAACUAAAUGCAUCAUAGUUUGGAACUCGCAAGUUUUCAACUAUUGUUGAAUCCUCUCAAUAGUUGAUUAGAAACAAAUAAAACACUUAGAGAUGCAUUCAUGUAUGAUUAUCAAGUAUGGGCUUGAUUAAUUUUUCUCGAUAUAGUUUGACUAUAAAGAGUAAGUGAGUUUUCAAGGGAGAAAACAUACAUGAAUGAAAAUCUUCUCAGAUUAUAAGCUAACAUCUCAAAGUAAGAAUCUUCUAUCUUAUAAGAUAAUUACAUAGUGUAAUUUAAUUAUAAAUCAAGAAGACUCUUGUGUUUUUUACAAAGCUAAUGGGAGCGCAGUAACAUUCCUAGUCUUAUAUGUAGUCGACAUGCUAAUUCUUGGAAUAAGGAUGUAUACAGAUACAUCAUGGCAACUAAUAGGAUUAAGUAAAAUUACAUUAAUUGUCAAGGAUCUUAAAGAGCUUAAGAUAAAGGACUCUUAGAGAGAGUUAUAUUGUCAAAUACCAUAUGACACAAUUUUGCGCACUCCUCAAAAUCCUAGUAAAAUGUUUUGAAAUGGAUAAUAUGAUUGUAUUCCAUAUGUUGUUGCAAUUGGAGUAAUCAUAUAUGUCAUGAUGAUGCAUAAAGGCCAAAUAAAUCGAUGCACUUCUUGAUAUUUUUAUCUUCUUUCAAUGCACCAUCAUUUGUUUCCACGCCUACGUUGGACUAAACGUGUGAUUUAGAGUAUCAUGUGACUAAAUUUGUAAUUUAGUCAAAAACAACCUUUAAAUGCUCAGAAAGUUAGCAAAUUCUUCUAUUACAGAAGCUAAUUCACUUUCCAGAUGUUCUUGGAUCACAAAAAAGUGGAAACGAUAAACAUAGAUUCAGACAAGUAACACUAAUUAUUAAGAAAAAAGAAAUAGCUAAUACAUGGGUACCAUGACCAUGAAACGAUUUAACGACGACAUAUGUGUAGAAAGGUCUAGUCAUAAGGGUCCAUCUGAUAAAUCUACCGAAACCACCAUCCAACCCUUAAAAAAAACAAAUGGACAUCUUAUUAACCCCACCAAUCAUCUUGUUCUUGCAUUGUAUCUAUGCUCAGUAAAUGCAUAUUACGUACCAAUACAAUAUCAAACUCAAAAUAGAUGGGAUUUUUUUUCAGGUAUCAUUUUCAAAAACUUGAACGAUAAUAACCCUCAAUUACAAAUUUUAUUGAACUAUUUUGAUGUAUUCAAAUUCUCAAUAAAAAUAUUGGUAAUCUAAGAGUCUCUUGAAGGAUUAAAUAGUAUUUUGAAUACCUUUUAUCUAAAAUCUUUUAAGGGCAUUGUUGUCAUCACUACUUAGAUUAGUAUCAGGGUCAUUUUUUUUUCAUUCAGGAACUCUAAUUUGAACAUAUGUCGUAAAACUUGUAUGAAAACUUCUAGUAGUUUCUUGCAAACCAAUUGAGUUUGUAGCAUUUAAUCGAUAGAUAGGCCAACUUCUAUUCCAUAAAUGAUCCAAUAAUCAGAAAUACAAAACAAGCUUGUUACUUCAAACAUUCUAAUUCAACGACUAUUAUAUGUUCAAGAAAGAAAAAAAAUCAACAAAUUGUCUUAGCAAAACACCAGUUAAGAGUGUGUAUAUUACAUGAACCUUUCACAACAAUCUUAACCUCGUCAUUUUUUCAAUAUGUUCUGAUAAUUUAUACAAACUCCUAUAAAAAGAAAUCCACAUCUUACAAUGCUUAAACAACUUUAGGAAGAAAAAAAAGUAACACAAAUUUCUUAUGCUUUGAGCACUUACUGUUUUAUUUAUAAGAUUUUGAAUGUUGUUAAGCUGAACCCACAAAGGGAUCGAUAUGGAUCCCCUUCAUGUAAAUCGUCAUAGGAUUGUCCUUGACAUCUUACAACCCUGGUAACAGCUUAACCAAAUGAAAAUCAUCAAUACCAAUAGGGUAUGAAUCAAAUAAAAAAAUCCUAAUGCCCGAACAUGACUUCGAGUGCACAAGAAUCAUGAUACAGUCACUUGCAACAUACUGACUGCUUAAUCAGUGGCGGAUCCAUGAUCAAAGUAAAGGGGUAUCCCAAUUUUUUUCGGGUAACCUAAUUUUUUUCCUGGGGUACUUGGGUUUCCCCGGUCCGGUUUCGGUUUUAAACCCAAAUCUUAAUCGAAUCUUUAGCUAAUCUCAAGUCUUGUUAUAUAAACAUGAAGUUGAAGUAUAUUUUGAUACUUGAAUCGAUGUGGGAAUCAAAGUAGAUAUCAAAUAAAGCAUGAGGAUAACAUGUUUAUAUAAUAGAAAAAAAUGGUUGAGUUUACAUGUGUUUAGCGAUGUGGGAUAGAAUAGCUGGGAAAAUAAAACAAAAGUAAACAAAGAAUAUAUAAGAAGCGAGAAUUGAUCUUGAGACCUUUGCUUCAAUAAGCCAAUGCCUUAACCAACAGAUUAACUGUUUGUUUGUGUUUAUAAGUGGAGGGAUGAGUAUAUAUACAUUAUACCAAUUUUUUUUUGAGGGAUACGUAAACAAAAAUUACACUAUCGAAAUUUUGUUUAGGGGUAUCCCGGGCUACCCCGGGAUCCCCUUGGAUCCGCCCCUAUGCUCAGUGAUGUCUUUUAGAGAGACUCAUGAAUUCUCAAGCUUAUUAGUUGGCCUAAAAUCAUCAUGUGUAUCUGGAUCAUAAUGAAUGAUUUUUUUAUUGAAAAUUGUUGAGAACUGCUUUCAGUUUUGAAUUGGAAGAUAUAAAUAUCAUUGUUUAAUCCUAUAACAAUUCAACUUUUAGGGGAAGCAUUAAUUUUGAAAGUAGUUAUUGGGUUAGGUGUAAUAUUAACAUGCUUCUAUAUCUGAGUUUAAAUGUUGCAAGUUUCUUCAGACAUCACCUAAAAGUGGAUUUUUUUUGGCAAUAUUCAAUAGAUUAUACUUAUCAAUUAAGUAUAUGUGUUCAUAAUAAAGUAGAAAAUUAACAGAAGUAUGUUGGAGACAGUGGCGUAGCUAGGAUUUUGUUUCGGGUAUGUCAAAUAAUUUACAAAAUAUAAACAAGUAUCAACAUAUUCAAAUGUAACAAUAUAUGUAUUUUAAAGUAAAUUGAUAAUUUAAGUUGCAUAUGACGCUCUCUUACAUCAUUAAAAUCAUCUAAAAUGCAGUCUAAACUUAUAAUCUUAACGAUAUCUUUCUCAAUGUAAAGAACCAAACUAUUAGCAAUAAAAACAUCAUCCAUCAUAUAAUACAAUAAUUCAAAUAGUUAAUUCAUCGCAAGAAUUAACAACCUAAUUUAUAAAAUAUAUAUGAAUAUACGAUAUAAGUGUAAAAUCAAUGUAAACCUUAAUGUUAAAUUGGUAAGAACUAAGUCAAUUAAAAGUUAUAUAAGAUAUAAAUAAAAUAAACAAAUUAAUUAAAGUUUUGAGUAGGUAGGUCAUAUUAAUAUAUGAUAUAUAUAUGUAAUCUUGAUUAUGUGUAGGGUGGGCCAAGGCUCACUCUUGCCUCUACAUCCCUACGCCCCUGGUUGGAGAGAUGAAAAGAAGGCAAUGAACAACUUAAGAACGUGAAUUAGGGCAUAUGCCUUAAUUCUGUGACAAAUUAAAAAAAAAAAUACUUCAUCGACCGCCGUUAAUAUUUAACAAUAUAAUUCAAAAAUGUAAUAAGGACAACCUUGUAACCACCCGAUAUAUUUUAAUAUAUUCGAAUUUUCAUUCUUAAUUACGUUAAACUUUAGGCUAAAAAUAAGAGCACGGAAGGUCGUGUCACUAUGAGAGCAGGCUAACAUAGGUUAAAAUUUAUAGGUUAUAUAAGCUACCACGAUAUCAGAAAUAUAAAUUUCGCAACAAUCCGACUCAUUAUGGAUGAGAUAUGACUUUUAUAGUAAAUAAAUAUCUACCGUGCGUAAGAAUUUACAACAACGAAAACUACAAGGAGAAUGGUGGACUUUUGGAAAAGUUCACCAAAAGGACAAUUGUAGUGCUACUUAAAGUAGGAAUUAUGAGACAAAUAACACAUAAAUCAGAAACUGUAUGAGAGAGUUAUGGUUUUUUUUUUAAAUCAUAACGGUAAUAAAAAUUAGUCGAAAAACGAAAAUCAAAACUAGCCAAAAUAACCAAGAGGAAUGUUGUAGUAUACGUUGAUACCUACACGGAUAUAUAAGAGUAACUAGGCGAAUACCCGCGCGUUGCACAGAAACAUCUAUAUAGUUGAAAUCUUUACAAAUAUUUUUUUUAAACAUAACAAUAAUAUUGUUAAAUUUGAUAUAAUAAUUUGUAUACUAAGUUGAUAUAAUAUAUUGAUUAUUUUGAAGUAUAUGAUAAUAUAUACAUCUAUUAAAAUUACACAAUCUCAAUCUUUUGAAUAACCUUCACCCGCGGGUUACUCAUAAAUAAAAUUAAAUAUAGUAUAUGGUUUAAUGUUAUUUAUAGUUGUUGAUAUUGUUAAUUAAUUUUUUAAAAUUUAUUUGCUUGAUGUUUUAAUUUCUAUCAUUGUAAUUAUUUAAAACAUCAAACAUUUUUUUUUAUUUUAAAGGUAGCAAUAUAAUCAUUCAUAUAGAGUUAUUUUGAACUAUUUUAUUAUAAGUUAUUUUAAGCUACUUAUUUGAAAACUUUUAACGAUUAUAAAAAUAUCUUUAAAAAAUAUUUUAGUUAAAUUGAUAUUACAAUUUAGUUUUUGCAUUUAGCACUACAAUUUAUCACUUUUAACUAUUCACAAAAUAUUCUUUGGGUUUUUUAAGUGGAACUGAAAUUUAUAUUGAAGUUAACCCUGUAAUGUUAUAUUAAAUUAAUAAUUUAAUUAUUUUGUCCAAAUUGUUCAAAAGUUGUAGCUUUAAACUGAUAAUGGUUUACAUACCACUACAUAUUAGACCUAAUAAAUUAAGUAUAAUAUGUUAAAAGUUAAAAACAUAACGUUAUAAGUAGAAGAAAAUAUAUUUUUUUAAUAUUGAAAUUUUGUUUAUAUAUGAUUACACUUUAGAUUUUAUAUUUAUUUAACCUUAUUAACCAACUUAUAAUCAUUAUUAGAAUGAAAUUGAAAAGUCAUUGGAGUUUCAAAAGAAUGUGGUGAAAGAAAAAAUAAAUGAGAGGUUCAAAUGAAUGUGGUGAAAGAAAAAAAUGUUUUCAUUAUAAGUAUAUAGGUGAAUCCCGUGCGUUGCGCGAUAAUAAAAUUGUAUAGUUAAAAUAAUAACUUUUACCAAAUUAUUAUUUAAUAUUUCUACUUUGAAACAAAAUGUUAGUNGUAAAACAAACAUAUAGUUAACAUAUUAGUUUUAUUAAACAUUAUAGUUUAAUUUUUAACUCAUUGUGAUAUACACAAUUAUUUGAUAAUUUUAUAAACCGUUUAAUAUUGUGUAAAUUAUAUAUCAAAUGAAUGAUAAUAUAAUGGGUAACAAAAUAUAUGAACAAAAAUAUGAACUGCAAUUUUAGUAACAUAAAAAUAGAAAAACAUAUAUUAUAAUAUUUGUAUUAAAAAAGAUAUAUAUACAACGAAUAAUAAAAAAUAUGAAAAAUAAAUACUAUAACUUUUAAUAACAUAAAAACACUAAAACAUCUAUUAUAACAUUUAUAUAUUAACUCUUCAUAUUUAAAUCACAAAUCUCUUCAAAUACAUUAAUGUUUUUAAUGAGCAAAACUUUACAACCUUAUAAAAGAAAGGAAAAUAAAAAGUUAUUAGUGAUUACUAAUUAAUAAUCAUAAGUUAAAAACUCUUGAGUUGUAACUAAUAAAUAUACAUAAAUUAGAAAACUCUUGAGUUGUAGUGUGAGUUUCAAAUGAAUGCGGUACUUGGAAAUGUAUAUUUAUUAUUAUUAUUAUUAUUAUUAUUAUUAUUAUUAUUAUUAUUAUUAUUAUUAUUAUUAUUAUNNNNNNNNNNNNNNNNNNNNNNNNNNNNNNNNNNNNNNNNNNNNNNNNNNNNNNNNNNNNNNNNNNNNNNNNNNNNNNNNNNNNNNNNNNNNNNNNNNNNNNNNNNNNNNNNNNNNNNNNNNNNNNNNNNNNNNNNNNNNNNNNNNNNNNNNNNNNNUAUAUAUAUAUAUUCGUAAAUGUCAUAUGUAAUUCUUGUCAUAGUAAUAUGGAUAAAUUACUUUCAUAUCAAGAACAUAUCAUGAUAAGUCUAUCAUAAUUACAUAUCAAAUGUUCAAAAAUAUGUUAUCUUUUAAAUAUUGUCUUUUAAAUAUGUUGUGUAGGAUAAUCCAACAAAAAUAUAAUAGAAAAUAAACAUAAUCAAAAUAGAAAAACUACAAUAAAAUAAAUAAGAGCAUUUGGUAGUUGAAUAUAUAAAUAAAAAUGUUACAUAAACAUACAUUUAAAUCAAAAGAAAAAGCUAACAUUCGUCAACUUUGCUCAAACAAAAAAACCUAUAUCCAUUUUAUGAAUCUUCUUUCUCCAUUUAAUAUCAUUCAACCAUAGAAACUUGAUGAUAAUUAUUCACUAACCUGCAAUCAAAAUAUUUUUCUUGAAAAAUAAGAAUCAGAAAGAUAUUCCAAGCAAAACAUUGAUGUUUAGAGAGUCACAUUCAAGAUUGAGUAAUACACACAAAUCACAUAUAAAGAUUAAAUGAGAAACUGAAUAUAAAGAAAGAAUAGAAAAGCUUCAUUUGUUUUGGUUUGCAAGAAAAAAUUCAUAUUACAAUUACCAUCGAUGCGACAUAACUCAUUUCUUCAAAUCAUCAUAUUUGGAUCGACAUAAUCCAUUUCUUCAAAUCAUCAUAUUUGGAUCGUGAAUGCUUCGACUAAAUGAAAACUUUUGAAUCACAAUAUCUUCAAAUCCUUCUUACAUGUAAGAUUUUAUAUAACACAAAAGACACAAAGGAUUGACCUUUUUAUACUAAACUUUUCACUAAAUGCUAAUUAAAUAUAAUAUAAGUUAUAAAACUUUUGAGUGUUAAAUCAUAAUUUAGAAAACUUUUGAGUUGCAUUAGUUAAAAAAGGGGUUUCAAAUGAAUGUGGUUUGAGGAAGUUAAAAAAGGGAGUUUCAAAUGCAUGAGAUUCAAGAAAAAAUGUUAGCUUUAUAAGUAUGUAUGAUUGGAAAUUGAGUUCGUAUGCGAUAGUUACACAAUUUUAAAGUUGAAUUUUUACCGGCACAUGAGCCCGCACGCAGUGCGCUGUGUGCAAACUGACACACGAUUCGUUUGGAUACUGGGUGAUGUGGCACACGGAGAAGACGACAAGUGGUAAGAACUAAGUCAAUUAAAAGUUAUAUAAGAUAUAAAUAAAAUAAACAAAUUAAUUAAAGUUUUGAGUAGGUAGGUCAUAUUAGUAUAUGAUAUAUAUGUAAUCUUAAUUAUGUGUAGGGUGGGCCAAGGAUCACUCUUGCCUCUACAUCCCUACGCCCCUGGUUGAAGAGAUGAAAAGAAGGCAAUGAACAACUUAAGAACGUGAAUUAGGGCAUAUGCCUCAAUUCUGUGACAAAUUAAAAAAAUACUUCAUCGACCGCCGUUAAUAUUUAACGAUAUAAUGCAAAAAUGUAAUAAGGGCAGCCUUGUAACCACCCGAUAUAUUUUAAUAUAUUCGCAUUUUCGUCCUUAAUUACGCUAAACUUUAGGUUAAAAAAUAAGUGCACGAAAGGUCGCGUCACUAUGAGAGCAGGUUAACAUUUAUAGGUUAUAUAAGCUACCACGAUCUUAGAAACAUAAAUUUUGCAACAAUCCAACUCAUUAUGGAUGAGAUAUGACUUUUAUAGUAAAUAAAUAUCUACCGUGCUACUUAAAGUAGGAAUUAUGAGACAAAUAACACAUAAAUCAGAAACUGUAUGAGAUAGUUAUGAUUUUUUUAAAAUCAUAACGGUAAUAAAAAUUAGUCGAAAAACGAAAAUCAAAACUAGCCAAAAUAACCAAGAAGAAUGUUGUAGUGUACGUUGAUACCUACACGGAUAUAUAAGAGUAAUUGGAAAUGGAGUUCGUAUGCGAUAGUUACGCAAUUUUAAAGUUGAAUUUUUACCGGCACACGAGCCCGCACGCAGUGCGCUGUGUGCAAAUUGACACACGAUUCGUUUGGAUACCGGGUGAUGUGGCACACGGAGAAGACGACAAGNUAUAUAUAUAUAUGUAAUCUUAAUUAUGUGUAAGGUGGGUAUGUGUAGGGUGGGCCAAGGACCACUCUUGCCUCUACAUCCUUACGCCCCUGGUUGGAGAGAUGAAAAGAAGGCAAUAAACAACUUAAGAACGUGAAUUAGGGCAUAUGCCUCAAUUCUGUGACAAAUUAAAAAAAAUACUUCAUCGACCGCCGUUAAUAUUUAGAGAUAUAAUGACAAAAUGUAAUAAGGGUAGCCUUGUAACCACUCGAUAUAUUUUAAUAUAUUCGAAUUUUCGUCCUUAAUUACGUUAAACUUUAGGCUAAAAAAUAAGUUCAUGAAAGGUCGCGUCACUAUGAGAGCAGGUUAACAUUUAUAGAUUAUAUAAGCUACCACGAUCUCAGAAAUAUAAAUUUCGCAACAAUCCGACUCAUUAUGGAUGAGAUAUGACUUUUAUAGUAAAUAAAUAUUUACCGUGCGUAAGAAUUUACAACAACGAAAACUACAAGGAUAAUGGUGGACUUUUGGAAAAAGUCACCAAAAGGACAAUUGUAGUGUUACUUAAAGUAGGAAUUAUGAGACAAAUAACACAUAAAUCAGAAACUGUAUGAAGGAGUUAUGAUUUUUAUAAAAUCAUAACGGUAAUAAAAAAGUAGUCGAAAAAGGAAAGUCAAACCUAGCCAAAACAACCAAGAGGAAUGUUGUAGUGUACGUCGAUACCUACAUGAAUAUAUGAGUCGUUGAAAAAGGAGUUCGUAUGUGAGAGUUACGGAAUUUCAAAGUUGAAUUUUUACCAGCACACAAGCCCGCACGCAGUGCGCUGUGUGCAAACUGACACACGAUUCGUAUGGAUAUGGGGUGAUGUAGCACACNNNNNNNNNNNNNNNNNNNNNNNNNNNNNNNNNNNNNNNNNNNNNNNNNNNNNNNNNNNNNNNNNNNNNNNNNNNNNNNNNNNNNNNNNNNNNNNNNNNNNNNNNNNNNNNNNNNNNNNNNNNNNNNNNNNNNNNNNNNNNNNNNNNNNNNNNNNNNNNNNNNNNNNNNNNNNNNNNNNNNNNNNNNNNNNNNNNNNNNNNNNNNNNNNNNNNNNNNNNNNNNNNNNNNNNNNNNNNNNNNNNNNNNNNNNNNNNNNNNNNNNNNNNNNNNNNNNNNNNNNNNNNNNNNNNNNNNNNNNNNNNNNNNNNNNNNNNNNNNNNNNNNNNNNNNNNNNNNNNNNNNNNNNNNNNNNNNNNNNNNNNNNNNNNNNNNNNNNNNNNNNNNNNNNNNNNNNNNNNNNNNNNNNNNNNNNNNNNNNNNNNNNNNNNNNNNNNNNNNNNNNNNNNNNNNNNNNNNNNNNNNNNNNNNNNNNNNNNNNNNNNNNNNNNNNNNNNNNNNNNNNNNNNNNNNNNNNNNNNNNNNNNNNNNNNNNNNNNNNNNNNNNNNNNNNNNNNNNNNNNNNNNNNNNNNNNNNNNNNNNNNNNNNNNNNNNNNNNNNNNNNNNNNNNNNNNNNNNNNNNNNNNNAUAUCAAAACCUCGGGAUGUCAUGUUCCGAUACAGAUCAAAAGCAUAAACAAGACAUUAUAAGCCUUUCAACAGUUAUUUACAACUACUGGCCUAUAAUCCAAAAAUCUCUCGUCGUCCUCCGACUAUGCUCGGGGUCCACUACCUGUAACAUAAAAAGCUGAGUGGGUCAGGCUUGGGAGCCUGGUGAGCAUAUAGGGUUUUCAACCCACAGUAAUAAUAAACUUUAUUAAGUUCACCAAUCAACAAUAACCCUGAUUACCCGUUCCCGUUAUCCUCACUUUACGUCCCUAAACUCUUUUCACAAGGGACCUAGCCUAAAGAAUAUCAUCGGGAUGGACACUACUACUAAGGGGUUUCCUCAGCCAUACAUGUCCUAAAGGCAACCAUGAGGGGGAUGGAGUACAGCGAAUGAACACUCUUAGUUCAUUAACACCUACAGGUUGCAGACCUGCUAAUGUUUCCCACUGGACUAUCUAGAAAGUCCGUGGUCGCCAUCCAAACUCCGCUAGAUGACUGGAUCUCAAAACACAUCGAGGUCUCUCAUCACUUUUAUUUUAUCACACAUCACUAUCUACCCAUGUUUUACCCAACAUAUUUGUAGAUAAAAAUACAUAUACAUUUUAAAACUUGUAUAAAACAUUAAUUCAACAGUCACCUCAGUUAAACAAUUAAUAUAAUUACACGUAGCACGUAUUUCAUAUAAAAUACUUCAUAUCUAGGUGUAAGAUGAAGGUGACUAUACACUCACAUGAUUUGAUGAUAAUCGGGUAGCAAUUCGUUUCCUAAAACGAUCGUUUCUAAUAAAACCAGGAGUUUUAUUGAGAAACCGGGCUUUGCAAAGGUCGGGCUUCGAAACCGAAAAGAUAAAUUUUCCGGGCUUCUCAGGCACUUCGUGGAGUAUUCUGGGGCUUAGAAUUGAUAUCGGGGCUUUGGGGGAUGUUAAGAUGAAAGAAAUAUGGGUUUAAGGGCUAAAAAUGACAAGUUUCCAAAAUAUACCCGGGAGGUCUCACACCCUUCUAUAUAUAUGGGCGAGGCUUCUGAUCCAAGGGCUUAGAAGAGGCCAUGCGUCGCAGAUCCGAAGCUCGCAGGGGAUGGCUCGCACAUGGUCUGCGCAUGCGAGGGGCUCGCUGUCGCCACCUGAUUGGACUGCGGUCUAGUCGAGGCUUCGGACGUGGCUCCUUCUGCGAGGCUCGGACGGAUGAGUCACUACACACGCGUCGGAUGCGAGGCUUGCCACCGAAGUUUAUACGUGUAGUCAGCGAAUUGGACCGCAGCUCGGACUCGGAAGGACAUAACACGCCUCACCAGGUGGCUUCGUGACUCAGCAGCUCGGAUACGUAGCACGUUUUGAGCGAGGGUGACGUGGCCGAAGUCCACAUGUGUGAAAUUCCUCUGUUUUGGGGAUUAAUUUUUAUUCUUAAUUAAUUAAGCCCUAAUAAUUAAGCAUAAAACACAUAAUUCACAUAAUAUUCACAUAAUUCCUUUUCAUUUCUUCAAAAUGAGUUACAAAGGUUAACCUAGACUAUCAACUCAAUAUAAAUGCCUAGGCUAGAAACACGAGUGUUACAAUUCUCUCCCCCUUAGGAUGAUUCCGUCCCCGGAAUCACAUAUCACUAAACAACUGCGGGUAGCGACUCAUCAUGUCACUCUCCGUUUCCCAAGUGAGAUUUGGUCCAUUCGUAUGUUUCCAGCGCACAAGCACUAAAUCGACCAUCUUGCGUCAUAACUUCAUAGUCUUACGGUCAACGAUUGCCUUAGGUUCUUCGAUCAACCUCUUGUUUUCAUCCAACCUUAACUCAGAAAUCGGAAUUAUGUCGGGCACAUCUCCUGUGAACUUUCUCAAAUAACACACAUGAAAGGUGUUAUGAAUACCCUCUAGUUCUUCCGGUAACUCUAGCUUGUAAGCUUGAUUCCCGAUUCUCUGAAGAACUUUAAAUGGUCCAAUAAACCUUGGACUCAACUUCCCUCUCUUACCAAAUCUUAUAAGUCCCUUCCACGGCGAGACUUUAAGUAAAACCGAAUCUCCAACAUCGAAGGAUAUCGGUUGUCUUUUCUUGUCAGCAUAACUC
rnacentral:lncRNA from 1 species